rnacentral:lncRNA from 1 species
UUAUAGCGACUGUCGGAGUCGACAAAUCUUGGAGGUGUGUUCGUAUACAACACUUGUCUCUCGAAUCUAAGGAGCUUUUCAAGAAUGUUCCGUUGACGACCGAAGGGUUCUUGCAUUGGACGAGCGGAGAAGUUGGGACGACUCGUAUGUUGACUUUGAAUGUGGAGACCGAGGUUAUUACGGAGAUUCGUGUACCUCAACGAGGUUGUAAUAACAAUGGAAGUGGACAAGAAUUGAGGUAUUAUUUGUCCAAUGGGAGGUCUCUGACUAUGCUCGUUUCACGCAGUAAAUUUUCGUGGGAUGUUUGGGAGUUGAAGAAGCCGGAAAUUGGAGAAUGGACGAAGAUUUUCCACAUCGACUUGGAAGGGCAAAAGGGGAAAUUCGAGCAUUUUGCGGUGCCUAUAAUUGAUCUUGACCCAGUACCUCUAACACUACAACCCGUCGGUUGGUUGAAUUACUACGAAGGGUUGGUAUUUCAAGUUUGCCGUCCAGCUGAGGGUUGCUUCGUGUACAAACUUGGUAAGCAAGAAAUCGAGAUUCUUGAUUUUGAGUUGAUUUGUUGCUACAUCAAAUGUGUUGUUCAUAAAAACAGCCUCGUGGGGUUGCGUACGUACGGUGGAUUUUCAUCUCUAACACCCCGACACCUCUUACCCUAGAACCGAUUGCUUGGUGGAAGUACAAAGAGGGUUUGAUCAUGCGAGUUUUCGUUCCACCUCUUGUUUCCAUCAAAGGAUUGCUUCGUGUACAAUGUCGGUAAGCAAGAAAUCAAGUUUCUUGAUUUGAAUCCGUAUUGUCAUUGCUUUUACGCUCAUAUUUAAAGAAACAGCCUCGUCUGGUUAGAUGGAUGAUGUUGUCAUCUCCAGUUACGAGCUUUCGAUAUUUAUGUAUCUCGUUUUAUCUUCUUAGACAAAAUUAUUAAAUCAUAUCUACCCUCUUUUUUUCUUUUCUUGUUUUUUUUUUCAUUGUUUACUUGCUUGUAGUAUCAAGGAAGCAUGUGAAAGAUUUAUUUGCAUAGAGAGUAAUCAAUACCAAUUCUGCAUUUAGUAUAGAACCAGUUGGUUGGUUAAAUUACCACAAAGGGUUGCUAGUCCAAGUUUGCAGUCCAACUGAGGGUUGCUUCGUGUACGAAGUUGUUAAUCAAGAAAUCGAGGUUCGUCGGUUGGGUAUUUGUUGCUACUCCAUCAAAUCUCUCGUUCAUAAACACAGUGGUUUUAUGGAUGAUUGGAUGAUGCCACUGGCUUUCGACUUUUAUAGGAACGGUUGCUUGCGGAUAUUUAUGCAUCUCGUUUUUUCUUAUCUUUUUAGACGAUUUUUGAUAAAUUAUGAGGUCGAUUUGAUUUUAAAACGAAGCAAAAAACAGGGUUUUGUCGAAUGAGAUGUGUAGAUUAUGUUCUACUAGCUAUCUUUUUUUCAUUCAGUAAAAAAUAAAAUUAAAAUAAGAAUUAAAUUUAAUUAAAAAUAAUGGACCCAAACAAAAUUUAGCAAUAAAUGCUUCGAAAUAAGUCGAUUUUAUCGCCUUCUCAUUCCACGACCACGACCUCGACCUCUACCACCCAUAGCACUUGCAGCAGCUUCUCCUUGUGCACUCUCAGACUAAUUCAUCAUCAUGGAAUAAUCCCAACAUUGAAUUAAUAUAUAAUAAGACCAAAUUAAGGGGGGUUAUAAUUUUGUAUUACCUUGGGGUUUUUCACUGUUUCGUCGACACUUAAGACGAGGCAAGCAGCUUCUGUAGCUGCAUUUAUGGCGUUGAUCUUCGAAACCAAAGAUCAUUUUUUUAUUUUUUAUUUUUUGAAAAACACAGCAAGCAUUAGAAGUGUAACAUCAGAUAAUCUACAUGGGCUAUAAAACUAAUAGGGUUAUAGAAAAGUACCUUCACAACUGAGGGCUCCCACACAAAGUUAGCAAAUGAAUCGGCAAUUCCGCCGGUGUUGAUAUCUACACCAUACGCUGCACCGUCUCCUGUUUGUAUAGAUCUAAACUCCAUCAAAUCCACGUUUUACAUCUGAGAAGCUAAAAGAAAUAAAGAAAAAAAAAAAUAGGCAAUUUCACGAUAAAGAAAUAUCGAGCUAACCAGAUGGAAGUGCGUGUUUUUGUCUCAAUUUGUUCAACACAUCCGUUGCAUCGAACCCAGCAUUAUCACACAGUUGUCGUGGGAUAACCUACGAAAAACCAGCAAUCACUACACGUAAGCCGAAGUGCUUUAUUCAAAUUUUUAGCAUCAGUAAACACAGGCUGGAGCGUAAGUUUAUAUAUCUAUCUUGGAAGUGCUUGUAUCAAAGAACUCAGAAAUCGUUGCCACCAAAGAGUAAAAAAGCUAUUUUCUCACAAGAUUUACCUCAAGGGCUUUUGCGUAAGAGUUUAUAAAGAGUUGAGACUUCCCAGCAAUCGUACGUGCAUGCUGCCUCAAGUACCGGCUUAUCUCCAUCUGCAGACACGCAAAAUAUCAAAACCGCAAUUUUGAACAUCUUUAAAUGCACAAAAAGAAAAAUUAAAAGAGAAAGAAAAAAAAAGGAUAACUCGUACAUCAAUAGCACCGCCACCAGGAACUACAGUCGAGUUUUUCAUAGCUCUUCUAACAAUCAUAAUAGCAUCAUGUAAACUUCGCUCUGCCUCCUCAAUAAACUAAAAUCAUCGAAGUCAACAAUUAGAACCAAGUUACAAAUCGUGAAGAAAAGAGCCUCAUCGUAAUAAUCAUAAACCUGAUCUGCACCACCACGAAGAACAAAUGUGGCAGUCCGACCAGAUGGGCAUCCACUGAAUAUGUUAAAUCGCUCAUUUCCAACUUGCCUCUCUUCAAAUAGGUCACAUGUUCCAAGUACCUUUCAAUUAGGAGAAAAAAGAUGAAUUUCAGCUGUCAGUUAACUGAGAUAGGCCGUUCACUUAAAUUUAUGAAGUGCGUUAUUUGAGAGGCAGGAAUCUCCAUUUAGUUAUUUUCAGUUAGCGAGACAAAAGGACAGGAGUAUAACCUCGUCAACAACAUUGUUCACAGUUGUCUGCACAGUUCCACCGCUAGCUGCCGCAACUCGCUGCAGAUCUUCUUCACUAACACGACCAGCACAAAAAAUAUCACGAUCUGCAAAAUACUGCCCACAAACUAUAAAUUAAUUAAGUUCACUGAGAAACUCUUCCUUUCCCAUGUCAUAAAUUCAAGAAUGUUUAAUUUCCCCUAAAACUUAUGAUCUAAAUUUAUUAGGAGCCACAAACAGCCUAUCUCAAUCAGAUUACCAUUGAUCCAACGAUUCUUGAACAAAUCGGUAUACAUAAGCUACAUUUGCCAUUUUAGCGAGAACUAUAAGUACUAACGAUAACUCAUCUUAUGAUUUUCCUCAGAAUAACUUCGAGAGACAAGUAACAACGUUAAAACUGGUACCUGAGUAGCCAGAUCACCGAUUGCGAGCCGUGACAGAACAACCUUGGCUCCACUCUUCGCACAUUUAUCCAACUUGUCGUAAAUGAUAUUCCAUUCUGCGUCUACAAUUGACUGAUACUGUAAUGGAUCUGACAGCCUGUGGUAUUGAAAGAAAGAAAAGAUAAACAAGUGUUUUUUUUCUCUGAAAUUAGCACAAGACAAUGAUGCAGGAGGUAGGAAAAAUCGAAAAAAGGUAAUUAUAUACCUAAUCUCUGCAUUCUCUUUCUCUGAUUUUAACUCCAAUUCUAUGUUUAGCAAAAGUAUCUUAGGAUUUACAAAUUUCUUCGGUUGCUGCUCAAAACCAGCAUACGAGAAUGUCUUUUUGAAAGCAACACCAUUCACAAGAAAAGAAUCCCUCAUUGUACCUCCAGGAACCUACAAAAGUAAAUUAGUACAAAAUUGGCAUAACAACAAAUCGGAGGCAGAAAGUAUAGAGUGAAAUAGGACGAAUGCAACUGGUAUAUUUAAUAAAAAUUCCGUAUUGCUGAAGUGCAGUUCAUAAAAACAGUUGCAAAUACAACAUAAUCCAUUCGCAUAUUGAAUAUGCUCAUAUUGGACAGUGACCCAACCUAAACACAUGUUAACCUUAGUUCUUGAGAAGAAUAAUUUUGUACAUGAGUACCCGGAAUCGAACCCAAAGUAGGCCUUACAAAUGGCAGGCUAACAUUUGUUGCUUAUUGAUGCAUGCAUGAGUUCUUGAGAAGAGUAAUUUUGUAAAUGAGCAUCCCAAACUAGCCAAUUGAUUAUUUGAAACCUUGUUUGCCAGCAGAUAACUAAAAAUUGCAUGAAUAGGAUCAUAAUUCAAGUCUUUCAAGAAAAUUUUAAGCACAAGUUUCACAUACCUUCUUGAUUCCAAUCAUGUUUAACCUAUCCUCGUUUCCUAUGGCAAGGACUGCAUCCACAACCAUGGUUGCAAAAAACUCCUUCUCACCACCAAUGAGCUUUGAAGAUAGUGUUGUAGCAGCACAUUUAGCCAGUAGCUUUUUCUUUUCUUCCAAGCUUUUUCCCUCUAUGCUACUAGCUAAUUCUUUGAUCUUCUCAAUCGCCUGUUAAGUUAACCAAAAAGAAGGAAAAACAGAAAUUCAAGAAGCUUAUAGAGUUAACCCAAUUUCAAACAGAACAAAGUUAACCUUCAAACCUUACCAAAUUAGAAGCUGUUCGAUAACUUCGUAUAAGGUUUUGAGGGUGAACUCCAUCGUCAACAAAAGGUUUUGCUUCCUUCAGGAAUUCUCCUGCGAGCAAAACGACUGUAGUGGUUCCAUCGCCAACCUGUCGGACAUGUAUAAUGUAGCUACAGGUUAGUUGAGAAUGCAAUAUAAGCCAAGAUGAACCUUACGGAUCACAAUUUGGGCUACACCUCAACUUUAGUAUUAAAAAAAAUUUAAAAAUACACCCUCGUAAUAAAUAAUUGAUUUAUCACAUGCCCAUUGGUCUCUGUACAUGGAUACAUUUUUCGAUUCUACUCUAUCAAGAGACAUCAGAAGAUAGCCACAAAAACUCAAAAUCUUCCAAAUAUUAAUUCGGUCAAUCAAAUUUACAAAUAGUCCAUUACUAUCAAAUGAAAUAGUAGCAAAUAUCAUACAAAUAGUUACAUAAGCCAUCUUCAAAUAGAACUCAAUCAAACUAGUAUUUUUCAUAUCCAUUAUUUUUGGCUAAAAGUAUAUUAUAGAAAAAAAGUGGCAAUUGACAGCACAAUAAUAAAAAUAAUAAUAAAUAAUAAUAAUACCUCAGAAUCUUGGGACUUUGCAAUAUCAACAAGAAUCUUGGCAGCAGGAUGAAUAAUGUCGAGAAGCUUCAUUAUGGUAGCACCAUCGUUGGAUAUGGUUGUGUUCCCCUUUUCAUUGUGGAUCAACUUGUCCAUGCCUCGUGGACCGAGAGUAGUCCGCACAACAUCAGCCACAGCCAUGCACGCAUUUAUGUUGCUUAUUAAUUGCGGUUUUCCUUGGGAUGCGUCGGUCCCUUCCUUGAGUAGUAUGAUUUGUGGUUGCUAUUGUUCGAUCACCAUCAUCACAAAUUACAAUUAGCUUUAGCACAAAUAGAUCAAUGGAUUUAUAGGGGAAAAAAAAAUAAUAACAGUAAAAUCAUACACAUAUUUAAAUGAAGGAAUCAAGGCACGGAAAACGGGAGUAAAAUGAAGGAAGUUACAUAAUAAUUAGUUAAUUACAAAAACAACAUUGCAAAAUUCCAAUUUAUAACUAAACGGAAAUUGCUGCUAAUUCUAAAACAUGAUCGUCUAGCAAUUGGACAAUUGGUUGGUUACCUGGCAAAAAUCCCAAUAACAUGAAUAAAUGUAAAAUUUAAUUCAUGGGAAUUGACAAGCACAUUCAUUUUCUAACUUUUGCAAGCUACUUCAUAUAUUUAGGUAAAUUAACACAAUUGCCCUUUGAUUCGUUACAUGAUAGUUGAAGGCGGCAGCGAAUGCUUAUAAACGACUACGAUCUCUUUUUCGUUAUUGAAUUCAUUUUUUUUUUACCAUCUAUUUGCAGAGUUCUACAAAAUUAUCGAUCCGACGAUGAAAUGAACCAAUUAGAGCUAACGGAGAACAAACAAAAACACAUGCAAAGAACCGAAUCACAGUAGAAAAUAAAACAGUAACACAAACACAAGUAGCGUCGAUUAACCGGAAAAUGCAGCGUCGCACAAUGUGCAGAGAGAGAGAGAGAGAGAGAGAGAGAGACAGAGAGACAGAGAGAUUCAGUCGCUCGAAUCGAGUUUAAAUGCAGUACAACAUAUAAAGAGAAAGGUAGAUCAAGCUCACCAUCAUGGCUGACAUUGUUGGAUUUGAGUUUAUGAGUGAAGAGUGUCCUUUCUAGAGAGAGAAGAGGAGAGAGAAGGAAUAUUAGGAGAAUGUUCUAGGGUUUUUAUAAGUCUCGUCUUGGGGGGUUUCCGGUGUUUCUCUUUUUGAAACUUUAGGGCGUGUUUGGUUUGAUUAGUAAUUAAAUCAAAUGAAAAUCAGGUUUAAGCUCAAUUUAAAACAACGUACAUUCGAUCUUAAUUCGAAUGAUUUUAUUCUAUUUUAAAUUUUAUCUUCUGCAUAAUAUUUCAUACAUGUACAAAUUUAUAUAGUUAUCUAUUCAGAAAAAUCGGAAUAUUUUAUAAAUAUGGUAAAUUACGGCCACCCUAUGAGGUAAAGAUCAAAUUACGAAAAAACUCCAUCAUAUAUUCCUAUUUAGAUAAUUACAAUUAACGAUGAAUAUUCUUACACAAAUCCACUUUUAUGGUAUCAAAUUCAAUAUAACUUUCUAGAUUUUGUGGAAUAUUCCCUAAUUUGUAUUUGUUUUAUGCAAAAAUGUCGUUUCUGACGCAUCACAAUCUGAUAUUUACAAGUCGAGACGCAUUUUACGAUCAUCUUGUUUUAAAAUGUGAAGCUCGAAUGUUGAAAAAUGGGUACAAGUUGGAGAAGAUUCCACAUAAUCUAGAAAAUUCCAUAAAUUUGACACUGUAGUGGUAGACGUGUAAGAAGAUUCAUAGUUGAGAGGUACCCAAACAUGUGGGAUAUUUUCGUAAUUUGACCUUACUCAGGGGUGCGACCGUAAUUUACCAUUUUAGUUAUAUGCUUGAAAAUAAUAUAUAAUAGAGGUUGAUUUUAUUGCUAAAAAAUAUAUUACUAAAAAUAUGAGUUUUAUUGCUAAAUUAAUUUGGUAUAAAUACAAAAACAAUUGAAACCAGUCCUCAAAGAAAAGGAUAGUGUUUGUUGUCUACGUGUCCGCAUUAUGGUGGCCAUGAGUUUCUCCUCUGUAUCACUCCGCCCAUCGGAGCUGCCGGCCACCGCCUCCAACCGCUGCAGAUCCACCGCGUAUCUUACCAGAAGAAGACCAAUCUCAAUUUCUUUCGCCGCUGUUUCGCCGGAAACCUCCAGUGCACCCCCGGCGAAACCUGAAAUCGAGCUAGAAUUCCUCGGGGUACUUACAUUAAUCAUCACUAAUUUUCUCUGAGUUUCGAUCUAUUAUCACUAAUUAGUGCCCUAAUUUUUAGUUAACUGCUAAUUUAUUGUUCGUUCACUCAUCUGCUACUCUCACUGGUUGCAAUAUUUAAUUGAGUAAUUUAGUUUUAAAUCUGCGAUGAGAACUUUAAAGGGGAAAUUACAGUUUUCAUCCAUCAAGUCUGCAUCGAUUUCACAUUUGGUCCCCAUGUUCACAAAAAACACAUUUGGUCCCUCAUGUUCCAAUAAUUUAACACUUUUGGUCAUUACCGUCAAUUUACCGUUACUCUGUUAGUUAAGGAAGUCAUGAAACACGCUUAAUUCCGUUAGUUUUAAUGGAAAAUUGACGGAAAUGACUAAAAGUGUUGAAUUUUUGAAAUAUAAGGCAUCAAAUGUGAAUUCGGUGCAAACUUUAGGGACGAAAACUGUAUUUUUCCCGAAUUUUAAAAUUAAUUGCAUUUCGCUAUUUUAUAUAUAUAUAUAUAUAUAUAUAUAUAUAUAUAUAUGUUAUUAUUAUUGUUUUUUCGAUUUCAGCCUAAACCAGGAGAUACAGUAGACAGAGCCAUAGCUAUAAGUGGAGAUAAGCUGCUAAGGACAAUAAUGUCUGAUAAUAAGCUUGAGCUCUAUGCCGCUUAUGUAAGUAUACACACACACACACACACACACACACACACACACACACACACACACACACACACACACACACACACACACACACACACACACACACACACACACACAUAUAUGUGUGUGUGAAUUUAUAAUCUACAUAUUUGUGAGCAGAGGUUGAGAAUCAAGAUUUCAAACAGAAGAAAGUAUGUUGAUAUAGUAAUAUUAGUGAUGCUAUUUAUAUUAUUAGCAAGUUUGUGAUUAUUGAUUUUUUUUUUUUCCGAUAGGGGAAGCUAAUGAAUUGUGGAGGUGGCGGAAGCUGCGGAACUUGUAUCGUAGAGGUAAAUAAUUAUUAGCUUCUUAUGUAGUUCUAUCCAAUUAUUAUUGCUUGAAGCAUUAAAUCUUUUAAAUUUGAGUUAACGACACGUUUUCAAACAUAUAUGAAAAAGACUUCAGGAAAAGAUGCUCGGAUUAGAUAAACGUGAUGAAAUCUUGUUUAUGUGUAUAGCCUUCUUUAAUAUGGAAAAACUCGAGAAAAAUACGAGAUAUUAAGCCAUCUUCAGUAUUGACUUAUUAGCUGAAAUGCCUUUUGUCUGUUGACUUAUUUUUGACUACCGUACAGAUAGUCGAUGGACAGGAUCUCCUAAACGAAAGAACUAAUACAGAGCUGCGAUAUCUUAAAAAGGCAUGUUUACGCACUAUGUGGUCUCAUUAGUAGUUUUCUUUUUCUCCAAAAGAUUCUUUCGAUUUUCAAGAAUCGUAAUUUUUAUUUUUUUUCCCGUGUCGUUAAAAGCUGGUUGCUUCCAAUGUUUUUAAUCGAUGUUUACAGAAACCAGAGUCGUGGAGGCUGGCUUGUCAAACUAUAGUAGGAAACAAAGACAACUCUGGAAAGGUAUUUUCGUGAUUGCAGGUUGUGUCCACAUGUAUUACAUACAACUCAAUAUUGGCUACAGAUUUUAGAAAUUUAUAAGAAAAAAAAUUUCGAAGUUGUUGAAAAUCUUGUUUGCUAAAAGCCCAUACGAAUCCACUUUAUUAUUACGAAUUUUCAUUCAUUCACUGCGAUUAUUACAGUUUUUGUCAUGUUUUUGGCUGUUAUUAUGUUGCAGGUGGUUGUCCAAAGGCUGCCCCAAUGGAAAAAAUGAAAAUCUUAGAAGAAAUUUCCGAAAUUAUUUGAAUAUAAUUUUUGUAUAUGUUUCGAAGAUCGAAAAUCAAAAGGGUCUAUAAGCUUGUUCUUCCUUUUGCUCUUAUGUGGUAAUGUAGCAGUUUUAUGUGUGUUCAUUCUUUACCCUCUAAUUGUGCGCAGUUUCAUAUUUCGGCAGCCGAAAAAAUUGUAUUACACUGGAUUUCGUUAUCUAAAGACAAAUACGGGUAGAUUAUGAGUAAAACGAGUCAUGAAUUUCUUGCCACUUUAGUACAAUCGUCUACAACGCUAAACCCUACACGGAAAAUUGAAGUUCUAAGACCCGUAACUUAGAAACAGAAGUAGAAAAAACACAUAAAAACUUGUUAGAAUACCACGAGCGAAAAAGAUCAGUAGCCAUGUAGAACUCGCUUCAAGAAAUAUCUUCGGAAAAUAUAAUGUCGUAUAUAAAUUGCACUGCACGGGAAAUGAUAACAACGGAAUGUUAAGUCUAGGCCAAAACAUUUUGAGAAGAAAAAUAUCACAAUUAAAAAAAAUUACGUAUUAAAAUUUCAUAAAGACGAGGUUUAUCAAGAAUUGAUGAUAUAACUCAUGCAUUGGCUGAAAUUGUAUGAAUAUAAACCACAAAGUACAUUCUCGUAAUGGGAAUUCAGCUUUCGUUUUUUACCUUCCUCUCGAGGAAUAUUAGGUUGAUCGACCAGGAGUUGUUGGAGCGCAGAUAAAUCACCACUUGCGCUGAAACGAAAUAAAGCCACACAACGGAUUAAUACAAAAAUUCACCAAAGGAGUGUAAAAACCGACUAUCAUCAAAAGAAAAGAAAAAACUCAACAGUCAUUCAUCUCCAAAGAAGGGCUUAGAAACGAGCCGUAUGUAAACAUACCUAGGUUUCAACGCAAUCCCCGGAAGUGCCGAAACUAUAGAUAAUUUAAGACCAUACCUGCAAGCAAAUAAUAACUUAAAAUCGAAAUUUUCACAUCCAUAAUAGACAGAUAAAGAUUAUCCAUCAACGCAUAACUUUUUUUUAUUCAAACCGCAAAAAUCAGCAGAAAAACGGGGGAUCAUUACUCUGAUUGAUGCAUUUCUUGAAGAAGUCUAAGUCCGUCUAAACAAUCCGCAAGGGUUGGUUUUACGCCGACCCUUUGCCUCAGUUGCUUUGCAGUUGGCUGCGCGGAACCCACUUUUACGAGCUGUUUGCUAUCACGAACUAUUUUCUCGAGCGAUCUGACAACACUGUGAAGCUCUUCCCUGUAAAUCGAUCGAUCACGAACUAUUCUACUCAGUGAAUUUCAAGUGAAUGCAUACAUUUGAACAGAAUUAAAGAAACUAAUCCCAUAAAAGCCCUAAUAUUUAAUCUAUUUCCAAUCAACAGAUUUUCCCCCAAAAAAAAAAAAAAUUGAAAAAUGAAAAGUAACACUACAUUGUCUUGUUCAUGGAGAUGAAGAUGUUUUGGAGGGAAUCCAUUUGCUUUGCUAAUACAGCAUCUUGUAUGCCAUCAACACAUUUCAAACCCCCAAAAUUAUUACUAUUUUGGAUGACCUAUUAUUCAAAUUAAAAAAAAAAACCAGAAAAUAAGAAAAAUAAUCUUCAAAAGAAGGGUGGGUAGAUAUUAAUAAUUAUAUGGAAAUAAAAAAAGGGGAAAACCUGCAAUCUCUGAAUGAUGGAAGAAGCAUUGGAGAAUUGGGAAAUUAGUCGCGAAUGAAGCUCUUCCCAUUGGGACAUCUCAUCCUUCACUUUCCUGAAUCGUUGUUGGUAUUUUCUCACUAUCGAUUCCAUCACUUGAACCCUAAUUCAGUGCGCCGGCGUUAAUCGCCGCCGUGCCGCCUAAUUGCACCGCCGGUGGUCCGGUUGAGAAGAAGGACGCGAUUCUUAAUUUUUUGCUUUUAAAAUCCAUAUCGUGUUUUUGUGCGGUAAAUAGAAAAGUAAAGUUUGAUUUUUUUUUUAAUUGUCUUUUUUAUUUGAGUAUUUUGAAUAAUCUUUUUAUAUAUUAAUUAAUUAAUAAUGUUUUUAUAUUUAUAAUUACAUAUUUAGCCCACUCGAAUAAUUUGAAUCACCACAAGAAUAAAUGGUAAAUUAAUUUAUAAAAUAAAUAACUAAAUACAAAAAAAUUAAUAAAAUAAAAAAAUUGGUAAAUUACAACCACACCUGAGGUAUGGUUAAAUUACAUCUACACCUGAACUAUGAUUUUUUCUUACACAUCCGUCCUUAUGGUAUUAAAUUCAACAUAAUCAUCUAGAUUUCAUGGAAUGUGCCCUAGUUUAUACUCGUUGUAAAAAUACAGUUUCUGAUGCACCACAACCUAAUAUAUACAAGCUAAAAAACACAUAUUAUGAUAAUCUUGCUUCAUAAUGUGGAGUUCAAAUGGGAUAAAACGUGUACAAAAGUAAUAAUAUUCCAUAUAAUCUCGAAGAUUCCACUAAAUUUGAAACCGUAAGGGUGAACGUGUAAGAAAAUUUAUGGUUGAGAGUAGUUAUAAUUACCCAAACAAGAUGGUGGUUUUUGUAAUUUCGCCAUACCUUAAUAAGUGUUUGUAAUUUACCCAAAUUAAAAAAUUGAAAGAGUGUAAAUAGAAGAGACAUUUAGACCCUCAUUCAACCAAAAGUGUGUCGUCAACUCAGACGAAUAGAUGUUUGACUAUUUUAGGAACCAUAAUUAGUACAAUUUUGGCUACUUAUUUUUUUUUAUAUUCAGGGUAAAUUACAAAUACCCCUGAGGUAUGACCAAAUUACAAAAACACCCCUCUUGUUUGGAUAAUUACAACCACCCCCUCAACUCAUCAAAUUUAGUGGAAUCUUCGAAAUUAUAUGGAAUAUUAUCACUUUUGUACCCGUUUUAUCCCAUUCAAACUCUACAUUAUGAAGCAAGAUGACCAUAAUAUGUGAUUUUUAGCUUGUAUAUAUCAGUUUGUGGUGCAUCGAAAACUGUAUUUUUUACACAAAAAGUACAAACUAGAGCACAUUUCACGGAAUCUAGAUGACUAUGUUGAAUUUGGCACCAUAAAGGUAAGAAAAAAUCAUAGUUGAGGGGGGUAGAUGUAAUUAUCCAAACAAGAGGGGGGUUUUUUGUAAUUUAACCAUACCUCAGGAGGGUAUUUGUAAUUUACCCUUAUAUUCACGUUCUUUGAAGUUGAUAGCAAAUCUUCAUCUUUUUUUUUUAUUAUUAUUAUUUCUGUUGAUGAAUUCACUUCUGGCCCCUUUAUAGGGUACAUCUCUGAAUUUCCAGGUUUAUCACCCCUAUACUUACUAUAUUCGUGCAUGCAAUUUAUGUCACAUUCAUAUCACAUAUUUUCUAAUUUUCAAUUGACCAUUUUCUCCUUCAUUUUUUUAAAUAUCAAAUAAACUCCUACUACGUUAAAAUAUUUUAAAUACAAUUUUGUUCCCCAUAUAUUUAAUUUGUAGCUUAUGCAUGUUGUUUAUUUUGUAUGUGUAUAAAAAGCAAAUGUAAAUUUAUAUAAAAUUUUGUUUAAUACUAAUUAAAAAAAAACAAAAAAUUAAUUAAUUACCUGUGUGCCACACAGGUCUAAUAAGGGACAACUAGAACAAAGAUAACAGAUUUAUACACGGUGUUAACCCUAGCUCGAAAAAUUAAGAGAUUAUUAUCAACUUCUUCCCCAUCCUCUGCAAAGAACAACAAUUAAAAAAAAUCGCUCUUAGAUUCAUUCAAGACUAAUUAAGUAGAGAACGAAGAGUAAAAUAUUGAUAACUAAAAGCAAAAAUGAAAAAAAAAAAAAAAAAGUGAUUAUUACCUACGAUUAAAGUGAUUGGAAAAUUUUUAUUAAUUUAGUGAAUUAUUAAAUUAUCGAGUUACUAAUUUAAUCCGAGAGAAACUAUUAUAUUAAUUUAUCAAGGUUCUACUGUAUAUAUACAAGCUCGGAAGGACGGAGAAUUUUAACAAACUCUUCAUAGUAAAGUGUGAAUGAAACCCUAGCUCGAAAAAUUUGGGGAUUCGGAUCAAGACCUUACGGCACGCGCGAAGGAAUAGGCUUUGCCUUAAACAUCAAAUCCAUCGUUGAUUAAUCUCCAGAUGCCCGCAGCAGCUUCGUCAAAUUGAAUUUCAGAUCCUAAUAAUAAAUUGCAUGGAAGAAGCAAUUUAUUAUUAAUCAAUUGAUCAUUUAUCAACAGCAGGAUUUAAUUUAUUUAUUUUUUAAAAAGGAAAAAAAGUUGGAAAAGAAUACAUGUGUUUUAUUAUUAUUAUUAUUAUUAUUAUUAUUAUUAUUAUUAUUAUUAUUAUUAUUUUGUGUACCUUUAACGUUUCUUAAUUUGUUCGCCUUUUAAAUCUAUAUCGUGUUUUCGUGUAGUUUGAUUUUUUUAUUUCAGUAUUUUCAGUAAUCUUUUUAUAUUAAUCAAUAAUGUUUUUAUUAUUUAUAAUUAUAAUGCAAGAGUUUUUUUCACCCAUUCGUAAGAAAAAAUCGAUUUUGGCCUGAUUCUGAUUUUAAGUUAAAUUAACUUAAUACAUAUAUUUUUGCAGAAACAAGAAUGAAUGGUAAAUUAAUUUAUACAAUAAAUAAUUAAACCAACAAAAAAAAAACAAUUAAAAAUUGAAAGAGAGUAAUUAGAAUAGACAUUUAUACCCUCAUUCGAUCAAAAGUGUGUCUGUCAACUCAAACAAAUAUAUGUUUGACUAUUUUAGGAACCAAAAUUAGUAAGUUUGAGUUUUGAACUAGUUAUUUCCCAAAGAGUCAUUAUGAGGCUAAAUCAGUAAUUUCUCCCUCUCUCUCUCCUCUCAUGCUUGUAGUGUGUGUGUCUGCAUUUUCUUAAAAAAAUUCCAGUGAUACUUUCCUCCUCACCUCACAGAAAACACUGCAUCCUAUUUUUUCUCCUCUGCAAAUAUCUUCCUUUUAAACCUAAGUUGGUCGUCACUUUGUCUCUCCUCUAUUUAGCAUGUGACCUCCCUAGGGUUUUCGAUUUUCUUCAUUCUCUUUUUUUUUUUUCUUUACACCUUCAUUUGUGGGUGUUUUUAUUUUACCCAAAAACAAAAAGAAAAAAAUUAAAAAACGCGUCAAUAAAUUCAAUUUUCGACAACGAAUUCAAAGCUCUCGUUCGCAGAAAUCUUCAUCAGAUUGCCCCCUUUUCGUCAGACCCUCGUUAUCUGGUCCGUAAUUCUUUCCAACUUUUCAUCUGUGAUUUUUUUUUCAUAAUUAUAUUCAGGUAGUUUAAUUCGUUGUCGUCGAUAAUUAGUUGAUUACUUUUCAGUUUUUGUUUUUAAUUUCUCUGUUGCAUUUGAGUUUGAAUUUUCAAUGUUUACACCGAGGGUUUGUUGAAUUUUUUUUUUUAUUUGUUGAUUUCAUUUUCGCCGAUAACAAUUCGGAAGAUGGUCAACGAUCUAAUGUUAUUGAGGGAUUGUAUUUUUGGGGGGUUUGAAAACUAAUUUAGGUUACGAAGUUUGAAUUUAAUCCGUCUUUUCUUUGUCCAUCAUGUGAAAAUGGUGUUUAUCUGUUGUAAUGAUGGGGUUAGGUAUUCGAAUUGUAUUUGGGGCUAGGGUUAAGUAUUUAAGAUUGUUGAGUCGAGUUAAAUAAAUACAGUUUACUGUGCAUUUACGACGCCGUAGUACGUUUGCACAUUGUUUAGUUUUUUCGUUUAUUUUCACGUUGUUCCGUUGAUUGUGUGUGUGUGUGUGUGUGUCUGUGUGUGCGUGUGUGUGCGUGUGUGUGUGUGUGUGUCUGUGUGUGUGUGCGCGUGUGUGGUUUUCAUUUCUUUGAAGUUCAUAACAGAUGUUCAUUUUUUUGUUUCAUUAUUGUUUUUCUUUUAUUUUGUGAAUUUUUUUAUGUUUUCUGUUGAUGAAGCCGGCCCUAGUUCUGGAUUUCUCCGGUUUGAUUCCAAAUUCAAACCAAAAACUUUUGCAGCCUUAGUUUUUUUAUUUUUGGCCUCUACAUUUAUGAAUUUUCAGAUUUAGCAUCCCCAUCUUUGCUAUAUUAGUCUAAUGUCACUUUCAAAUCACAUUUUUUUUCAAUUUUCAAUUGACCACCCACAUUAAUUUCUUUUUUUAAUUUUAUCUCAAACAAAGAAAGAAAGAAAAAGAGUUAGGUUAUUAUUACUAUAAAUGGAUUUUAUUUUUCAGCCUAUUUUCCUCAUUUCUUGAAAACCCAAGAACAACUCCUCCCAUCUUGCUUUAAAAUAUUGGCACAUUCUAAUCACAUUUUUUUUUCAAUUUUCAAUUCAUGACCAUUUUCUCCUUCAAUUUUUUUAAUCUCAAAUAAACUCCUACCACGCGGUUAAAAUAUUAUAAUUAAUACAAUUUUAAUUUGUUCCCCAUAUAUAUUUAAUUUGUUAGUUAUGCAUGUUGUUUAUUUUGUAAAGGAGGAGGCAAACAUCAUGUCUGAUGUGCAAUCAAAAAGCUACGUCAAUCUGCUGAAGAAAUACAAUCAUGUCAAAUUAACAAUCUAUGAACAAUGUGGUGAAGAUAAUAUAAAAAGCAGUAAUAAAUUAAAUUAUCAAAUUUCAUUCACCAUUAUUACUUUUAAAAAUUCCAUUUUAUUUAUAAAAAAAAAUUAAAAAAAAUCCAUACAUAUUCUAAAGUUGUUCUUACAUGUGUUUGGCUUAUUUUGGCUUUGUUGAACUGUUUAUGUUGUUCUUACAUGUGUUCACGUUGUAUUUUGUUGAACUUUGUUUUGGAUUACUUGAAUUUUGCUAGACAAUUUCGAAAAAAGAUUUAGAGAAGUUCGUAUUAUAUCCGUAUUUAGAACAAUACAUUAAGAAUUGAUAUGCAGUUUCUGGGAUUUACGAAAUUCUGGCGAGUACGAGGCAUUCUAGAAUUGGAAUGGAUUUUUGAAUUCCAAUUUGUUUUUGAACGAUAAGUGAAACGCAUCUUUAACUUCCGGAAAAAAAAAAAAAUAUUUCCUAAGAAGCCAUUUCCUAUCCGCCUCGUCCGACUUUCACCCUACACAUGUGUAAUUACUAGUAGGGUUAUUUGUGGGUUGGGUUUGGUUGAUUAUCGGCCAACAAACCAACCCCCGAUCCACAAACUGACUUUGUAAAUAUUGAGAACAUGUUUGAAAUUAAUUUUCCAGUUCUAUUUUUUUCGAAUAAUAUUUAAUUAUCAGUGGGCUUUCACAGACUGUUUUGCUCAUGCUACCGCAUCGUUGGUAUCUUUUGAGAUACAACGGGUCAAUCGAUCUUAUAGAAACUAUGAAGCUUCAAUUUAGCAUAUAGUAGAUCAAACUUUCAAAUCAAAGGUAGAUGGAGUCGUAUCCUUGUACAAAUAUUUUGGACCAGGUGAUGAUGAUUAUGAAUAUUGCGACGAAAGCGAUAUGACCUUUUAUGAUUGUGACGCGAUUGCACCAUUGUCUUAUGUGCAACGCUAUGGGGUGUGUCUUGCAUCGGAUCAUCCGUAUCUUUUAGGCGCUUUUGAUAGAAAUGCUCAGUCCCCCAUUGUAAGUAUUUUAGAUAUAUUUAUUGAAUAUUCUUGCAAAAAUAAUUUAAUUAAUAUCGAUUAUUUUUUUUGAAAGGUUUCCGAGAAGAUUAAGGUACGGAAAAUCGUACUUCUCGGAGGAAGUCACAUUGAGGCCAAGAAAGCCAUUGACCGGGGACAUCCCUUCAUUGGUGGGAUUACUGUGUUUCCUGACUUGGGAACUUUUGAGGGAAAGGUAAAUUUUUUUUUUAUUUUUUUUCUAGCUAUAACAAAAUAACUUAUUAAUAGCUUCUUUUUUAUCCUUAACAACGAAUGUUACAGGGUAUCUAUCGGAACAAGUUGAAAAAUAAAAAUAAAAAUUGGGCGCGGCAUGCAGUUUUGGUUGUAGGAUAUGGUGUGACUUUUAGCGGGGAGGAAUAUUAUAUAGUUCAAAAUUCCUGGGGAGACGACUGGGGGGACAAUGGAUUAGGGAAAAUUAGUUGUGAACUAAUUGACCCACAAGUAUUCGUUGAUGAGGCUUACGUUGAGGUGUGUAUUUGUGUUUAAAUUUAUUUCAUAAUUAGAUUUAUCUAUUUUAAUUGAAUUAUUUAAUUCAUAAUAAUCUUCUUUUCUUUUUCUUUUUUCCAGAUGUCUUGAGCUACCAAAAUGGAUUCUUUGAAUGACCAAGUAUUAAUGGAAGCAAGUGCAUCAAAUUGACAAGUUCUUUUGAGUAUUUAUUAUUUAUUUUGCUAUAUUGACUUGAGUUGUGUUUGUAGUAAGUCUGUUCGAAAUAUUUUUCUAGAUUUCUGUGAGUUUAAAAUUUGAUGGAUUCUCUUUAUCAAUCAUGCAAGAUUUGAUUUGCCUAUCUUGCUGCCUACAUGGUCCCAGUCAUGUUGGAAUACAUACAUAUAUAGAUAUUUUUAUGUGUUAAUUUUUUUUUUGUUACAAGUAAUUGGACAAGCACAAGAUUGGCCGAAAUAAACGAAAUACGAAUCUCAAAACAUAAAGUAGACAAGCACAAGAUUGGCCGAAAUAAACGAAAUAAGAAUCUCAAAACAUAAAUUGGACAAGCACAAGAUUGGUCGACAUAAACGAAAUACGAAUCUCAAAACAUAAAUUGGACGAGCACAAGAUUGGUCGACAUAAACGAAAUACGAAUCUCAAAACAUAAAGUAGACAAGCACAAGAUUAGUCGAAAUAAACGAAAUAAGAAUCGCAAAACAUAAUGUGUACAAGCACAAGAUUGGUCGAAAUAAACGAAAUAGGAAUCUCAAAACAUAAAUUGGACAAGCACAAGAUUGGUCGACAUAAACGAAAUACGAAUCUCAAAACAUAAAUUGGACGAGCACAAGAUUGGUCGAAAUAAACGAAAUACGAAUCGCAAAACAUAAAGUCGACAAGCACAAGAUUAGUCGAAAUAAAAGAAAUAAGAAUCGCAAAACGUAAAGUGGACAAGCACAAGAUUGGUCGAAAUAAACGAAACAAGAAUCUCAAAACAUAAAUUGGACAAGCACAAGAUUGGUCGAAAUAAACGAAAUAGGAAUCUCAAAACAUAAAUUGGACAAGCACAAGAUUGGACACAAUAAAAAACAAGAAUCUCAAAAUAUAAAUUGGACAAGCACAAGAUUAGACGCAAUAAACGAAAUAAGAAUCUCAAAACAUAAAUUGGCAAGCACAAGAUUGGACGCAAUAAACGAAACAAGAAUCUCAAAACAUAAAUUGGACAAGCACAAGAUUGGUCGACAUAAACGAAAUAGGAAUCUCAAAACAUAAAUUGGACGAGCACAAGAUUGGUCGAGAUAAACGAAAUAAGAAUCGCAAAAACAUAAAGUGUACAAGCACAAAAUAAAUAAGAGUAGCAUUGUUCCAGCCUUACACUAGGCAUUCACCUCCACACACACCAUCAUUUUUUGUUUUUGUUUUUUUUUCAAAAAUACAAAAGGAUUCUAGAUGAACACAAACAAAACUAGUUAAUAUUCCAAAAGCAUAUAUACAUAUAUAUAUAUAUAUAUAUAUAAAUAGUUUCUCUGAACCUGGAGGAGGCUGUAAUCACCUGCAAAUGAAAAAAUCCCUAAAGGUGUUAAAUGCUAGUAAAUGCAUGCAUAUAUAUAUAUAUAUAUAUAUAUAUAUAUAUAUAUAUAUAUAUAUAUAUAUAUAUAUAUAUAUAUAUAUAUAUAUAUAUAUAUAUAUAUAUAUANNNNNNNNNNNNNNNNNNNNNNNNNNNNNNNNNNNNNNNNNNNNNNNNNNNNNNNNNNNNNNNNNNNNNNNNNNNNNNNNNNNNNNNNNNNNNNNNNNNNACACACCAGCAAGGGAGACGUAGUUACCCUAGCUCGAAAAAUUAAGAGAUUAUUAUCAUCAUCUUCACCAUCAUCCUCCUGAGGCUUAGCUGUAAAAGUGAUUAUAGCAGUUAUUGUUUGUCCAGUUACUCUCUUCAGCUCCACAAAUCUGUAUUUCUUCACCUACAUAAUUAUAACAAUAAUAAAUUAAAUUAAAUUAAUUAUUCAUAUAGUGAACAUAAUAAUAAUAAUAAACACCAAACUUUAAUUGUUUUCUAGAGAGAGAGAGAGAGAUCUAGAGAGAGAGAGAGAAGAAACACAAUGAAUAGACAUACAUGUGUGUCGUUGUAGACAUCAAUGGCUAAUUGAGCAGCUUCUUUCAUUUUUGGGAUGAUAAAAGCAUUAUCUGCGGUGGGAACUCCGUCGUACCAGACGCUUGGAGCACCAAACCCUCGCCGGUUCCAAUUUCUAUUCUUCUUCUCCGUCGUUUCUGGAAUCAGCUUCUUCUCCGUUGUUUCCGUUGAUUCUGGAAUCAUCAUCAUCAUCUUCUCCGUUGAUUCUGGAAUCAGCUUCGAUUUACGCUUCGGCGACGUAUUGCCGAGAAACUUCCAGGCAUUCCUUUGCGAUUGCAAUUUCGACACCUUUUUCAUUCCGUCGCCAGAUUCACAAUAAUCCCCUUUCUCUAAACCCUAGUCGUUUUGCCCUUUUCGUUCUCUUUUUUUCUUUUUUAAUUUUUUUUUUUUUUUUUUGUUUAAUGGGCUGGAUUUUGAGAAUGGGCUGGAUUUUAAACAUACUCAAUUUCUGUUAUAAUACCAUUAUAUAUUAAAAUACAUAAAUGUCAUUUUGCUGCAUACUGCAUAUUACACGACUAAGAAUAUCAUUCUUAUAAUUUUAAAGAUUUUUUUCUCCAACAAAUGACAACUUAAACGGGGAUUUUUUCGAGUUUUAUAGCAUUCUUUGUAAUUACUAUAUUAAUCACAUGCUACUAUUAAAUUUAAAAAUAAUCCAAAUAUUACAAUUAAUACGUGAAUUUACAGAUAAGGCACACAAAAAAAUAUGUGAAUUUUUUUCUAUUUUAAUUAUCCCAAGAGUAAAACAAAAUAUUUUUAUAGCUCACAAACUGCCCUGCUAAAUUUUACUUUUCCCAUGUUAUUUUCAUAAUUUAAAUUUCACAAUUAAUUCUUUUAAUAUUGUGCAAUUUAUUUUUAAUACAAUUUAGUUAUGGGUGUUACUAUUUGCAGCGGGACUUUUACUGAAAUUGUCUUAUUUGCAGCGGUACCUUUUUCAUUUUAAUUUUUCCAACUUUCAAUUUCUCUCUCCUAUUCCCAAACACUCUCUAGAAAUUUGAAUUUCGUAAAAUUUUUCGACAUUCAAACCGUACAAACAAGGCUCGAUUCCGGUAAAUUUUCGAUUUCCUACUACUUUUAAUUAUUUUUAUUUCCAAUUUAGGUAAAAACGUGUGUUUAGGAAUAGAUCUAGCAAAUUUCGGAAAAAAAAAAAAAAUUUACGGCACCCGUGUUCUGGAGCACGGGAGCUUCAACUAUUUGUUCUCUACAGCACGGGAGUUGCAAACUGUUUUGUAAAUUUAAAUUUUCCGAAAUAAAAAAAAAAAAAAUUAUUUAAGUUUCCCGUCUUGAAGGACACGGGAACUUGAAGUUUUUUGAGUUUCCCGUGUUCUGGGGAACGGGAACUUGAAAAUUUUGAGUUUCCCGUUCUGCAGAACACGGGAACUUGAAGAAUCUUCAAGUUCCCGUGUUCAACAGAACGGGAAAUUUAAACUAAUUUUAAUUUUAUUUUAUUUUUAAUUAUUUUAUUUAAUUUGUUUUUUUAUCUUUUACAGAUGGCACGUCAGGACAAGGGGAAAGGGCUUAUGGGUUCUUCUUCGAGUUCGGAUAAAUUUCCGAAGAUUAAAUUUUGGUAUGGCGGGCAAGGCGCGACGGAAGCCGAGGCGGAAGCGGAGCGCAUUCGUAUGACUGCAUCUCAUCGUCGUAGGAGAGUUAUGGAGCGCGACACUGAUUUACCCGUCGUGGACGAGAUUCCCCACAUAGAUCAUAGUUCUAGAUCUAUGACGGGUAGCAUUCGAUCUGUAGGGGCAGAUUCUCGUAUCCCCUACGAGGGACACGUGGAGGAGCAUGACCAUGUUGAGAGCGAUUUUGAUGAUGUUCUCGUCCCGGCCGCGCGCUCACGGAAGUCUCGGUACGAGUUUGACACUUUCAGUGGCCCACUUGAGUUACAUGGUCCGGCUCCAGGAGGACCGACUGAUUGGAGGAUGAUUCCUAGUUUCAAGAGUCAUAUUGCCUACUACAUUUGGGCAGGACAUGUAAGUUUAAAUAUAUUUAUUUUUAUAUAUUUUAAAUAUAUUUAUUUUAAUAUAUUUUGUCUAAUUCAAUUAGAAAUUCUAUAGGAGCGCAGCGUGGGGCGAUGUGAGUCAAGGAUUACUGCGCUUAAUGCUUUUAAGAAACAUGAGUUGAAGCAACUCAUGGCUCCUUACGGGCAGGAUGAGUUAGAGCUACUGGAGGCAUCUGGCCUAGACUCACUCGAGUACUUCUACAUAAAAAAUGUAGACAAGGGACUCAUGGGGGCAUUUAUAGAGAGAUGGCAGCCGGAAACGAACAGUUUCCACAUGCCUUGGGGUGAGAUGACGAUCACCCUACACGAUGUCCAUUUAAUUUUGGGGUAGCGUGUUGACGGUCUAGCGGUGCACGGUGAUUCUGUUGAGGAGAGGCCUAUGUGUGAGUUGUUGCUAGCUGAGGUUCUUGAUUUGGACAUGGUCGAAGCGCAUGCCAGGCUCGGCAAUAGUGGGAUAAAAUGGUCGGAGUUUGUGGAGCGUGUGCGCAGUCGGUCCCGAACUUGUCGGCAGAAGGUGGUAGGAUAUUUGACGUUUUUUAUCGGUAUGGCUUUGUUCCCCGACCGGAGUGUAGACAGGUUCAAGCCAACGUGGAUGAGAUAUUCUUCCGAUCUCGAGCACGUCGGCGAGUAUGCUUGGGGUGCAGCUGUAUUGGCUCAUUUAUACCGACAAUUGGGCUUGGCUAGUAGGGCUCACGUGAAGGGGUUACAGGGUUGCACGUUACUGCUCCAGGUAUUUAAGUAAAAUUUUAAUAUAAUAUAUUAUACUCAAUAGAUUAUGUUUAAUAAUAUAUUAAUUGAAUAUAAUAUACUACAAUUUAAUAUAAUUUAUUAUUAUAAUUAGUAUAACGUAGGUAGUUAUAUAAUAUAGCCUCAACAGUACAUUAAUUUAAUAUAAUAUAUUGUGAUUUAAUAUAAUAUUAAUCUAAUAUAGUCUCGUUUAUUUGUAGUGCUGGAUUUACGAGUACUUUCACCCUUUCCGAGCACCUAUUAAUUCGGAUUAUAGGGAGAUGCAGCCUCGGUUCCUGAAAUGGAAACCACGCAAGGGUAUUUCGGACUUGCUCUCGGUCCGAAGGAUGCUUGAUGAUAUGCAGGCCGAUCAGGUAUGUAUUUUAAUUGUUGAAUUUAUUUAUUAUUAAUUAUUAUGAAAAUGUAAUUUUUAUUACGUUAAUCUAAUUUUCCAGAUUGACGGGAUGCCUUACGGGCCGCACGUACAUAGACGCGUUCCGCGUACAUUAUAUUAUGGGUGCAUACAGUUUAUGGAGAUUGUCGAGCCAUAUUUACCGGAUCGCGUCCUUCGGCAGUUUGGUUUUAGACAGACCAUACCGCAGUGCUUCAUCCAGUCCAGAGAGUCGUGCCUACGUGGUCCGCUUGGAGGACAGACAUACCAGGUACGGUAUGAUCCGCCAGGGCAGGAGUGGAUGGACCUGGCUAUCAGCUCGAUUACGUUGGACGGUAGGACAUUAGCCUGGCCGCCGUCUGAGACUGCCACUCGGUACAUAGAGUGGUACGUUCCUCGUACUCAUCAGUACGUGAUCAACCGGGAUCCAGCGCCAGAAGGACCACCGCCAGUCGUACGCCCCCCUCCUAUUCAGCCGGACUUUUAUGACAUUGUGCGUAUCAUCCAUCCGCACAUGCACGAGAUACCCCAGCAUCUACGUGUCCAGUUACAGCCUCGUGUGGAGCCACAUGCACGUUUUCUAGGUUUAUCCCCCAUUGGAGUUUCCGACGACGACGACUUUAUGGAGAUGCCACCACCGCGUCGGCGACCGGGUGGGACGAGUGGCACUUCGAGGAGGUCUAGGGGUAGACAGUAGACGGCUUUUGUUUGACAUUAAGUUGUUUUUUCUGACAUUUGGCUAUGUUUUGUAUUUGUUUGACAUUUAUUUGUUUUUUCUGACAUUUGGCUAUGUUUUGUAUUUGUUUGACAUUUAUGUUAUUUUUGUUUGACUAUUUUAUUUAUGUUAUUUUUGUUUUGGCCACCACCGCGUCGGCGACCGGGUGGGACGAGUGGCACUUCGAGGAGGUCUAGGGGUAGACAGUAGACGGCUUUUGUUUGACAUUAAGUUGUUUUUUCUGACAUUUGGCUAUGUUUUGUAUUUGUUUGACAUUUAUUUGUUUUUUCUGACAUUUGGCUAUGUUUUGUAUUUGUUUGACAUUUAUGUUAUUUUUGUUUGACUAUUUUAUUUAUGUUAUUUUUGUUUUGGGUUUAAUUUCAAAUUUAUUCCAACCAACAUAAUAUAAUAUAAUACAAGGUCCAAACAUACGAACUAAAAUAAAAUAAUACAAGGUCCAAAUACAUACCAACUAAAAUAAAAUAAUACAAGGUCCAAAUACAUACCAACUAAUAUAAAAUAAUACAAGGUCCAAAUACAUACCAACUAAAAUAAAAUGCCUAUCCCAACCUUGAUAAACGACGCCACAUGUAUAGGGGUUCUUCGAACAUUUCCGACAAGUGGGCAAGAUUUGCGGCUCUAACAUGUCGCCACUGUGGAGUGAUAGGUGGUAGAGGACAAUUAACCGGUAACUGGAUAAGGACAAAAUGGUUUCCUAACAACACCAUAUGGAUCAUAUGGGAUAAUUCACCCGGACCAACUAGAGGUAAGUAGGUUAUAUUUCCGCCAAUGGCGUAUAAGACCAAAGCCGCAUUGUAUUUAGUCGCUAUCGACAUUCCCAUAUCCGGAAAUGACAUCCAUUUGUCCCGACUGCACGGUCCUUCUUGUCAAUCACAUCUUGUAAUCCAUCGAAUGACUUCAUCUUCACCAUUUUGCGAUGCGUACGUACCAAAUCGCUCGUACAUAUCGGCAAUCAAAUCUCUCCUUACACGACUCCAUCUGUGCUGAUCUCGGAACACUGCUUCUGCAACACAUCUGUACCCACAAUUUCCAUCUGCUAUAACAUUAACAUACGACACAAUAGAUCCUGCCACAAAACCUGGGAUGUAAGAUCUGAAAUUGAGCUCAUCGCCCGGUUCCUUUUGAGGCAUCGGAUUACUCUUCUGUUUGGCAGUAGAUUCAUCACUUGAUCUACCACUCCCUCGACCCCGCCCUCGUCCACGACCAGAACCGGAUUCGGUUACUUUCGAUGGUGGGCUUCUGGUAGAAAUACUUUUUCGACCCUUAGAACCGGCAGACGAUUUACCAUUUUCUUCAUCAGUAGACGACUUCCGCGGGAAUGGUGGGUACUCCCAACCGGAUUUAUCUCUCUUCGGUUUAUCCUUUGGCCUUCCUUUUGGUAUAACAUAUGCAGGCUCUGCCAAGUGGAUGGUGUCUGGAUGAAUAGUGCUAUUCAUGUAAUCAGCAGUCAUCUUUUGAGUCAUAUAAUCUUUUUCUAACACUUCCGUGGCUAGUCUGAUUAUUCGGUCUCUCAUAUUUGUUUCACGAUCCAUCUGUGCUUCAGGUAUUUCUGGUUCUUCAACGUGCAUGGUACUCCAAAAUGGAUGUAGAUCCAUACAUAUAAAUGUAUCACGUUGCUGGAUUUUCAACGCAAUUCGUCAUGUACAAGGAAGUGCAUGACUAUCCCACAAAACGUGAUCACAAAGAGAUGGGUCUUGAAACCCCGAAUUUUUUAUCUCAUCAUCAAGCAAAUUUAAUGCUUUAUGUGUGACUUUGCAUAUCAAACCCUGAAAUACCGGAUACGCUGACGAGUGCAACCUGAUUAAACUGCAUUUUGAAAACUCACCCUUGAUCUUGGUUAGUUGAUACUCAACCCCGGAGUCGAGCUGAUAUUGAAUAGUGUUCACACCACCGGUAGAAGCAUUAAUCCAACCCUUCGACGAUUUAUGAGCACUUUCCACCCUGUUAAUAGCCAUUAAAAUAACAACUAAUAAAUAAAAACGCCCACAAUAUAAUAUAAAAUAAAAGACGAUAAUGAAACCCAACAUACCUAGAUGUCGACGUGUUCCGAAAAUGCAAAAUCUUAUUAGCCCAUGCUUUGACGAAUUUGUGCUUGUAAAUUAGCCAAGUAUCGUUAAGGUAUGAUAUCAAUUUGGGGUAACAACCAUAGCGUCUAACCAUUUCCUCGUAAUUAUCAUUGUAAUCUUCUUCUGUUUUUGACUUCACUAAUUUUGCCCAAUGUAUGCGCCGAAAUAUAAGCCCGUGUUUAGUACUACCAAUAAAUCUCGAUGCAUUUUUUUCCACGUUUCUAUUGAUGUGAAACAAACACAAGAAAUGAGCGGAAUCUGGAAAUAUUACGGGCAUUGCUUUGAUAAGUCCCAAUUCACGAUCCGUCAAUAUCACAUUAGGUACCAGCCCCCCCAACGCACAUUUCAAACAACGCAAAGCCCAUUCGUAUGUGUUUGCAUCUUCAUGUGACAUGAAAGCAACAGUAAUUGUAAAAUUCAUACCAACAGGAGUGAUUCCAAUUAUUUCCAAAAGUGGCAUCUCAUACCUACGUAAAUACAUAAAUAUCAAAUGCAAUCAAUCAAUGUAAAAUAGCACAAUAAUAAAUACUAAUUAACAACAUACCUAUUGGUUUUGUAAGUGCAGUCCAUCAAUAUGACGUGAGAGAAUAACCGCAAAAGUUUCAACUAAAUAGGAGCAGCGAACAUCAAAUCAGUAAGUGUAUCAUCACCUUCAUUACUUCGAUACCAAUAUUCAUAUUCAGAUUCUUGAAGGUUCGACAUCAACGUGUUGUAUCACAGUCUUCCCCGCCAUAUUCUCUUUUUUCAUCUUCUCAAGUUGGUUGUAGACAUGUUUCACACUCGUUGAUGUCUGUGGAUUAUCCUUUCUCAAUCGAUCCAUAAUUAAUGCCGGCUUCACGUGGCUCUUUCUAAGUAACUUCACUACCUCGUAUUCUUCUGGUGUCAAACGACUAUCCGGUCCUUGUCCGGUAGGAUACGGUAGUGUCGGGUGAGUGUGAGUGCCACUUUUUAAAUUCAUUCGCCAUAGUCCAUCGUUUGAAUUUUUGCUACAGUAUAUACGAAAAGGACAUCCACAUUUUUUUGUUCCCACAUUCCGUGGUAUCGCACCUACGGUUCGUUUUUCACGUCCCUCCCCAGACAAAUGACAUCUAAUUACUACAUACAUGUUUUUCUUGCUUGAAGUUACUAUCAAUCGAUGACCAUGAGUAGCAGCCAUUUUUUUGCCCAUUCCACUAAUUCUUUCCCAGUUUCAAACUCAACACCUACAUUGAAAUGUUGACUGUGAUCCUCAGAAGUUGUUGGUGUGUCUUGAGGAACAUCGAAACACAUGUUGGGAUCCUCGUACUCGUUGUACGCUUUGUCACGAUUAGUUGUAAACUCAUCGUCAAAAUCACCUUCAGUACCCUAUUAAGAUAUAACAAGUUAUAAUUAGGAUAUAAAUAACAAUAUUAAAAAAAAAAAAAAAAAAAAUUAUUAGGGGUUCCCGUGCCGGCGGGCACGGGGGUGCACUGUUCCCGUGCCGAAGGGCACGGUGGUGCACUGUUCCCGUCCGCCAGGGCACGGGAGUCUCAAACCUCCGUCCUCUAAGGCACGGGAGCACGAUAUUCCCGUGCUCCCCAAGACGGGACCUAUAGUUUCAUUUUUUUUUUUUUUUUUGAUUCUCCCGUGCUGUACAACACGGGAAUCCCUAAUUUUUGGGAUUCCCGUGCUACACAGCACGGUAUACCCGACGAAAAACAAAAAAAAUCCGCUACUUUCUUCGAUUUACCUCGUAAAACUCGUCAGAAUCGGCCAUAGUGUUAUAUGUUGUCGUCGGGCAGUCGAUUCAUCAAAUAAACACGAAAAUCUUAAUUCUCGACUUUUUUUAGUUGAGAGAGUUUUCAGUUUUUCAAAAAGUUUGAAAAGUUGAAAUGAAAAGGUAUCGCUGCAAAUAAGCCAAUUUCAGUUAAAAGUCCCGCUACAAUUAGCAUUUCAGUUUAGUUAUAACACAUUAAAAUUUUAAUACUACUGGGGGGAUAGUAUAAUUAUUAAAUACGCAAAAAGUAAUUAAAUAGAAAAAAAAAGUCUGUCAGAUAUUUCCAGCCCGCUUGACCAGAGCUCCAGCCAGACUUAUAUUGCUAACCGCUAGGGUCGAUCAUCUUAUCUGCGGAAACACAGCGCUUCGUGCCACUGUGCCCACAGCUUCAUCACAAUCCGGCCAAGCAGGAGGGUUAUCAUCAUCCAGACUUGACACGGUGUUGACCAGGCUGCCCCCGCCUUAACAUAAAUACAUCUUCUUUAUUAUGUAAACCUCCGAUGUGGGACACUGACAUUCAUUUAACACAGGCAGAUACCCCUUAAAUGCUCUUCUUUUUCUUUUCUUUUAAUCUAUAUAUAUAUACACACACACACAUGGGCAAAUUGUCUUAUCGAGCCAGACAAAACCGACCUGCUUGCUUGGCUACAUACUAGAUUUAAUGGCUUGAUAUACGACAAAACGAACGAACCCUUAAAGAACAACCUCUUACUGUACUAACCUCCGAUAACCAAAUCCUCAAUAAACGAACCAUUAGUCCAUUAAGAAUUGAGUGAAAGGGAUUUCAUUGGUUUUUUUCACAAGUAAUUGGACAAACACAAAGAUUGGCCGAAAUAAACGAAAUAACAAUUGCAAUACAUAAAGUGGACAAGCACAAAAUAUAGCAGUAGCAAGCAAAUUUGUCAAAAUAAAUAAGACUAGCAUUGUUCCAGCCUUUCACUGGGCAUUCACACCUCCACACACACACCUAUCAUUUUUUGUGUUUUUUUCACAAAAUACAAAAGGAGUCUAGAUGAACACAAACAAAAUUAGUUCACAGCCCAAUUACAUAUAUUCCAAAAGCAUAUAUAUAAAUAUAUACAUAAAUAGUUUCUCUGAACCUGCAAAUGAAAAAUCAAUAAAAAGUGUUAAAUGCUAGUAAAUGCAUGCAGCAUAAAGCUGAGAGGUUGUUAAACAGUGUAAAUUUCUAUAACAUAGACUGGAAGGUGUACAUACUUGAGACAUUAGAUUGCAAUUAAUUGACCUCUCUCAUGUUUCGUGCUAAAGAUAUUCAAAUUUACGAGAUAUAAAUACACACAAGUACAAUUGAAGAAGUGAAACUUGUGAAAUGACAUUCUCUUUGGGACGUGAGUUCCUAUCGAUGAAUUAGCCACACUCAAAAGAGUUUUUACUUUACUACAUGCAUCUCCAACAUAUAUAUAGCAUCACUCACAUGCAACGUUUGAACUAUCCGGAAUAACUCAAGAGACUAAUUGUCCAACAUCGUCUUAAGUACUAAACUAGUAAUUAUAAGUUAAAGAGUAAACGUAUUUCUCUCGAUUUGGUUGGGGGCUCGAAUUAUGUGGGACCCACAUUUUGAUCAUAGUUGACAUAACAAUUGAUCCACGUCAAGACAUACUAACAUCAACCACUGGGAUGCACCAAAUAGAUUUUAGGUAUUCUAUUCUUUGUUAAAGAAAAUAAAUUUACGAAAAAAAAAGAACAGGACAUAAAAUAAAUUUGUAUAUGCGAAUGCCCACAUCUGCAAUUCAAGGCUAAUUAAGUAGAAUGAACUGAUUCAGUCACCUCAACAUGUCGAUAAAAGCGAAAAAUUACAGCCAUAUAUGUAUGAAAAAUAUGUGUAAAGAUGUGUAUGAAGAGUAAAAUUUAUGCUUAACAGAAGCAAAAUGACAAAAUUGUACAUUACCUAAUGAAGGUAACCAAAGUCAGCUGGAAGGACAAUUUCGACAAACACUACAUAGCGAUGUGUGAUCGAAACCCUAGCUCGAAAAAUUUGGGGUUUUGGAUCUUCACAAUUCACAACCUUCUUACGAGGCUUUGCCCUAAACAUCAAAUCCACCAUUGAUAAAUCUCCAGUUGCACGCAGCAGCUCCAUCAAAUUGUAUUUCAUGUACUACACACACACACACACACACACAUAAUAAAUUGAAAGGAAGAAGCAAUUAUUAAUAAUCAAUUCAUUAAUUAAUUGUAGACUGAACAUAAACAAAAAAGUUUGUUUUUUUUUUUUUUAAAGAAAAGAUGGGGAAAAAAAAUAUACAUACAUGUGUUCUGUUGUAGAGGCUAAGGGCGAAAUUGGUGAAUUCAUCGAGAAUUUUCCAUGUUUUGCCAUCACAGCGCGUGGAAUCAACGUCGUACAAUACAUUUAUAACGAUGACUGUGCUCUUGGGCUGCUGCUUCUUCGAUUUGAGUUUCGUAUGUUUCGUCUUAUUAUCCGCAGAUGUACCCACGCGCUUGCGCUUCUUCUUCGUUUUUGUUUUGUUUACGCUACACUCGCCGGAUUCCGCCGGAACACCGUCCAAUUUCGGAACUUUGUUCAUGCCGUCGCCGGAUUCACAACAAUUCAUCUCUCUAUCUCUCUCUCUCUAGAAAUCGAAACCCUUAUUUUAAAGCUUAUUAUUUAAUAUUUCUUUUAUUUAAGAAAGGUAAUGGGCUGGAAUUUUUGGAAUGGGUUGGGCUGCCACGUGUAGAUUAUAUUUUUCCCACUUUUAAUAAUAAUUUAAAACUGGGAGUAGAGAAUGACAAAAUAUAUGUGCUAACUAAUUCAAUUUAAUUCAUGAUAAAAUAAAAUCGAACCCAUUAAAAUUCAGAUAAACUUAUGCUACAUUGCUACGUAGGAAAAUAACUUUUUACUAUGUUUAUUUUUGUUAUGAUAAAAAGUCAGUAAUAAAAGUAACAUUUUUAUUACGUGACAAUUUUGAGUCGUAGUAAAUGUUAGGAUUUACGGUAGCAAAAAAGAAAUUUGAUACGGUUAUUAUCCGUAGCAAAGUUUUUGUCACGUCGCAUCUGUUAUGAGGCGAAUUCGUAGCGCAUGCAUAGCAAAAACUUUUUCACUACAAUUUGAUACAUUUUGCUAUAGUUAAUAGUCGUACUGAAAAGACAUUUUUCUACUGGCGUAGAAGUAAAUUUAAUAUGCAUAACUUAAAUCUGAAUUUUGAAUAAAUAUUUGAUUAUUUUUCUACCCAUUUUAUUCUUGAUCAUUAAUUGCAGAAAAGACUAUUAAAUAUGAGAUUAAAAGAAGUAAAAUAAACUAAUAUUUGAUAUAACUUUGUCAGAAUAAUUAAUUUUAUUUGUUCUUUUGAAUUAUAUAUUUGAAUAUUCUAGACAUAUAAAUGAGUUUUGUGUUCAAAAAACUCAAUUGAAAUUAGUUUAUCUUGCAUAUAAUAUCUCUAGAUCAUUUAAAUUUGUUUAUUUCAAUUUAUACAAGCAUUAAUAUUGUUCCUAUGACAUGAAUAUUUUUAUCAAUGCACAAGUAUUAAAACAACUAGAAAUUAAAAAUAUUUACAUGAUGUGCACGGCAUAGCAUUGCGAUGUGCAUCGCAUGGGCGUAAUACUAGAAAACGGGAGGCGCAUGAUUCGAAAUAGAUUCGAUCCAUUUCUUAGUCAAAAAAUAGAAAUUAGAUAUAAUAAACCUAAGCUAAAAAAAAUGUUUUUGCAUUUUUGGAAGUGAUUUGCUCUUAAUAUUCUCUUCAAAUAAGUUCAUUUUCAAUUUCAUGUAUUUACAUUAAUUCCAGAGCCAGGAUUAAUAUCGGCAGAAUCGCUUUCCGUAUUGUGUGCAAUAGGGUUAAGGUUAACAAUCAUGUAUGUAAUGGAGAUAAAAAUUCAAACAUUUUACGGAACUAGUAGUUAUAAGUUAAAAAGUCGUACAAAAACGACGACGACGAUGGUAGACGCAGAGUAAAACCUAUUUCGGCAGAAUUUAGACACAUUCAAGAGCGGUCAAGACAAUUAAAUUCAUACUGAAAACAAAACGUAUGGAAAUUAAAUAAUUCCAACAUCUUACUGAACUAUAUUCGUACGAAAACGACAAUUGUACCGAAGAGGAAGACGACGACGCAGAGCUAGUGAAACCCUAUUUCUCUGCUCGAAUUUACGUGUGGCCCACACUUUAACCCAUAGUCGGCAUAACGAAUGAUCCAGUUCAAGAAACACUAAUAUCAACGACGUCUAGGGCUGCAUAUACAUAACAAAGGAUUAUUUGUAUAUAUAUAUAUAUAUAUAUAUAUAUAUAUAUAGAGAGAGAGAGAGAGAGAGAGAGAGAGAGAGAGAUGGAAAAUUGAGUAAGAUUUACCCAUCAAAGGUCACAGGCAAGGAGGGAGGGGUGAUUUUGACGGACUUGACAGUAUUACUGAGGGUGUUAACGAGAGCUCCAAAAGUGCAUAACUCACCGUUGUUGAUCUCCUCUGCGGUAAUUGUCAAACCCACCAUUAUUGUUACUCCAGUUGCAUAGCUCAGCUCCACAAAUCUGUAUUUUAUGGGCUACACACAUAAACACCCACCAAAUUAUUAUUUUAUUUUAAGAGAGAUCUAGAGAGAGAUCUAGAGAGAUUACAAUUUACAAUUUACAAGAUUAGAGAAUUACGUACAUGUGUUUUGUUGUAGACAUCAAUAGCUAAUCUGGAAGCUUUUAUCAACCUUUCGAAGAGCAAAGGAUGACAUUUUUUGGGAUUUCCUUUAUACCACACGUGUGGAAUUCCAGAAAUUUCCCGUGUUUCGGGUUCUCGGGUCUCGGGUUUCGGAUUCUUCUUCUUCUUCUUGUCGACAAGGAGAAACUUCCAGACAUUCCUUCGCGGUUGCAAUUUCCACACUUUUUUCAUGCCGUCACCGUCACCGUCACCGGAUUCACCACAACCCCUCCCUCUCUCUCCAAACCCUAGCCGUUUUUCCCCUUCCAAAUUUAAUCAAUUAUUAUUUUAUAAUAAAGAUAAUAUAAUAUUUAUAUAUCUAUAUAAUUCUAUGAAUAUUUUGUACAAUUCACAUAAAUGUCAGAUGGGGAUUCUUUAAGUUGAUUUUUUUUUUCUAAAAUUACGAGAUAUAUUGGAAUUUUCACUUUUUUUUUUUUGCACUCUGGUCCUUUAUCCCGGUUAAUUAAGAUUUUUUGAGUUUUAUUUGCACGUUAACAUAAUAAAAUCAAACUUUACUAUUUUAGUAUUAGUAGAAGUAUUUUUCUCCAAUAAUAUAUCUUUUUUUACAUAUAUUAUAUCUUUUUUUUUUUGUUUUUUUAAGGAAAAAUUAACUUUAUUUAUUUAGGCAUACCUUGCCAAAACUGAAGGAAGAUUAUAACCUUCGUUACACGAGUCACCAUAAUUUUUAGCUAUAAGAUGAGCUAAAAUAUUUCCCGAACGUUUAAUAAAAUUAAAGACACAACUUUCAAAAAAUUUAGCCAUACACCAGCAAUCUUCGACAUAAGCGCCAAAUGAACAUGAUUGAGCAUCCUCUCCUCGAAGAGCUUCGACAACUUUGAGGCAAUCUCCUUCCAGAAUAAUUGAUGGCCAACUUUCCUCUUUGGCUCUAGUCAAUGCGAAUAGUGCAGCAUGAGCUUCACAAUCGACUGCCCUUGGUCGGCCUCUAAAGCUUCUAGCUGCCCAAAAGAUACAGUGACCCUGCCAAUCUCGAGCUAUCACAGCCACCGUGUAAUGGUCUGUACCAGCUGGAAGAGCUGCAUCAAAAUUCAGUUUAAUUAUUCCUUCUCGAGGCGGUUUCCACUCCGUUGGAUGAGCGCGUUGCUGUAUGGGAGUACGAGGAAGUUGUGCUUGUUGAUACAAAUUGAGAAAAGUCAGACCCCAGCUAAUAAACUCGUCCAUCGCCAUCCCUUGCUCUCCAUGCAUCUCUCGAUUUCUUGACUCCCAAGCUUUCCACACUACGACGACCGCCAAGAGAAAGGAAUCCUCUGUUAACUGUUGCUGCCAUUGAAUUAUCCAAUCCCACAUAGACACUGGUUUUGGCUGCCCUAUAAUGCCAAAAGGGUGUGACUUCCAUAUUUUUUCCAUUCCUCGACAACGGAGAAAGACGUGCAUAGGUGUCUCCCACUCUCUCCCGCAAUGGUUGCACAUUGGAGAGGUGGCAAUUUUUCUUCUAAACAGCUCGGCUUGUGUGGGGAGUAUAUCAGAACAGGCCCUCCAAAGAAACAUACGAAUUUUCGGGGGAAGUGCCAAAUGCCAUAUGUUCCUCCAUCUUCUGCUUGAUAGUCCACUCGACGAUUCAUUCGCUAGACCCCUAUUAGCAUGAUAGUUGUGUGAUGUUACUAGGGCGAGUUGAUAACACGACUUAACCGUAAAUUUUCCGUCCUUCGUGUAGUGCCAAAUCCAUUUGUCCGAUGCAUAUGAACUUCCAAUCGGUAUAGCCAGAAUACGUUCUCGAUCCACUGGCCAAAACUGCUCAUUAAUAAUCGAGAUAUCCCACGACUUUGAAGUCUGGUCAAUUAAAUCUUCGACUCUAUCUGGGAAACACGAGUGCAGAGGUCUUCGAGUAAUAACUUUGAAAUUUCCAUCGUCACCGAGCCAUGGGUCCGCCCAGAUAGAUGUGCUUGAGCCAUCACCAAUUCUCUUUCUUAAACCUUUGAGCAGAUGAGACCGUGCCUUAACUAAACUCCGCCAAGUCGCUGAAGGCCGCGAACCUAAUUCAGCCGUGAGAACUUCACCAUUGGAGAAAUAACGAGCUUUCAGAAUUUUGGAUAAUAGAAGGUAAGGGUAAUUUAAAAUUCUCCAGGUUUGUUUGGCUAAUAAUGCUAUAUUGAAACUACGCAAAUACCGAAAUCCAAGACCACCAUCAGCUUUCGACAUGCACAUUCUAUUCCACGCUAACCACGGCAUCUUCCUGUCAUUUCCAUUUCCCCACCAAAACCUUCGGAUGGCCGAUUCCAGAUCAUUAAUGAGACCCACCGGUAGCAUAAAGCAACUCAUCAUAUAUGACGGAAUUGCUUGCAAAACAGCCUUAAUAAGAACCUCUUUUCCGGAAUUUGAGAGUUGUUUCUCGCCCCAUCCUUUAAUACGUGCCCAAAUACGAUCUCGAAGAAAACUAAAUAUUUCUUUUCUUGUUCUUCCCAUCGAGACAGGCAUACCUAAGUAUUUUUCAUGUCGAUCCACCACUUGGAAACCCAAAAUAUUGCAAAUACUCUCCUUCAAAGCCGCGGAAGUUGUUGGACAAAAACUCACAUUAGUCUUUUCAAAAUUAAUCUCUUGUCCCGAAAUCCUUGCGUAUUGAUCAAGAAUGUUUUUCAUAGUAAUCGCAUCGGCUUCAGAAGCUUUACAAAACAGAAGAGUGUCGUCCGCGAAGCACAAAUUGGAAAUUGUGGGAGCUGAUGGAGCAAUUUUAAUUCCAUGAAAGUUACCUUCAUUGACUGCCUUCUGAACCAUAGUAAUUAAAGCUUCUACACAACAUAUAAACAUAUAUGGGGACAAAGGGUCGCCUUGCCGAAUACCUCUAGAUGGACGAAGCGAGCCAAAUUGUGAACCAUUAAAGAGAAAUGAGUACGAGACAGAAGAGAUACACAACAUAAUAAGAUCAACAAACCCAGGCAAAAAACCCAAACGACAAAGAAUUUUUCUCAAAAAUAACCAUUCAAUCCGAUCGUAUGCUUUACUAAUGUCUAACUUGACUGCCAUAUAAUUAUUUCGAUUACUAGAGUUGGACUUAAUGAAGUGAUUGAUCUCGUAAGCAACGAGAACAUUAUCGGUGAUAAGACGUUUGGGAACAAAAGCAGAUUGGGUAGGUGAAAUAAUAUCACAAAGAAUCGGUUUGAGACGAUUAGCAAUAGCCUUUGAUCCGAAUUUAUAAAUCACAUUGCAUAGACUGAUAGGUCUAUACUCUGUCAUUUUUUCCGGUUUUUUCACCUUAGGGAUAAGAACAAUGUAGGUGAAAUUAAGGGCAGAAGGGAGUCUCUUAUUAUUAAGAAAUUCUAACACGCAAGAAAUAACAUUAGACCCUAAGAUAUGCCAAUAUUUAGUAUAAAAGAUAACAGAAGGCCAUCCGGGCCAGGAGAUUUUAAAGGGGCCAUUUGAGAAAUAGCACGGGUUACCUCAUCAGCAGUGAAAGGCAUGGAUAACAUCUGAUUCGCUUCGCUCGUAACUCUCGGCUCAAAAUGCUCCAAAACCUCAUCAAUCUCCCUCUCACUCGGAUUGGUAGACUUGAAAAUGUGAGCAAAGUAUUCAGCAAUAAUUUUUUCGAUGUCUUCCUCAUUCACCUUCCAGUUCCCAUUCAUAUCUUUUAAUCGAUCUACUCUGUUAACACGAUUACGAGAGGAAGCCUUUGCAUGAAAUAACUUUGUAUUUCGGUCUCCUUCUUUCAUCCAUUGAACUUUGCUCCUUUGACGCCAAUAAAUAUUAUAUCUUUUAUAUUUGAUAUUAUUUUAUCAAUUAAUUUAUUUUCAAUUUAAUCAAAAGAAAUAAAUGUUUUUUUUUAUUAUGUCAUAUUAAUUAUCUAUAUCAAAUAUUGAAGGUUUUUUUUAUAUCAUUUAAUCUAAAUUUAUUUAUUUCUCUAUUUUUUAAAUUAUUCUUCAGCAUCGCACGAGUGAAAUAUUACUUUUUAAUUAAAAUACAUAAAUAUCAUUUUGUUGACUAUCCAUUAUUUUCUCAUUUUCUUUGAAGAAAUACCAAUUUCAAAGUUUGAAUAUUUUGAUCAAACAUUAUAUAUGUCUAACUCUGCUUCUGAAAUUUAUUUUCGAAAAAAAUAUUAAUAUUCGUUGCGACCCAAACCCUAUUCGGGUGAAUCAACGGGUCCCACGACUAAGAACAUUUCGAAAACAGCCGAGCUCACCGAAGAAGUCAAUUUCCUGCUCCUUUCCGUACCCACAUUCAACUUUAACAAAAAAAACAUACAUAAUCAGCUGAUUCAGCAAUGGCCAUGAAUCUACCGUCCGAUAUGUACCAUGUACCAAGAUUUGAUCGAACGGCUCCGAUUUCACCCUCCUACGUAUCGAUCGAUCUGAAAAGAUUUCUAAAAAUCCCUAAAGGUGUUAAAGAGUGUUAAUGUACAUACUUGAGACACUACAUUGCAAUUAAUUCAUGCUUCACGCUAAAAGAUAUAAAUUCUUAUUCGAAUUUAAGAGAUAUAAAUACAUGUCAUGUACGAUUUUGAAGAAGUGAUCGAAACUUCUCAAAACGACACUCUCUUUAGUACACGAGUUCAAGUAUACAACGAUUGAUCAAUCAAUAGUUAUAUCAACUAGCCACAUUCAAGAGCGUUCAAAACAUUAAUUACUCCGACAUUAAUCGGGGGCUCGAGUUACGUGGGACCCACUUUUUCUUUAUCAUACUUCACAUAACAAAUGAUCCAGUUCUAUCAACUACUUGAAAAAACCGCAGACAAGUUUCAAAACAGAACAAUAGAUUUCUACAUGCAAAGAACAACAAUUAAAAAAAUCCGCUCUGAGAUUCAUUCAAGGCUAAUUAAGUAGAGAACGAAGAGUAAAAUAUUGAUAAAGAAAAGCAAAAUAUUAAAUUAUCGAGUUACUAAUUUAACAUGUUCUUACCGAUUCGGGACCGAGAGAAACUAUUAUAUUAAUUUAUCGAUGUUCUACUGUAUAUAUACAAGCUCAGAAGGACGGACAAUUUUAACAAAGUCUACAUAGUAAAGUGUGAAUGAAACCCUAGCUCGAAAAAUUUGGGGAUUCGGAUCAAGAUCAUACGGCACGGGCAGAGGAAAAGGCUUUGCCUUAAACAUCAAAUCCAUCAUUGAUAAAUCUCCAGAUGCCCGCAGCAGCCUCAUCACCUUGAAUUUCAGAUCCUAAUAAUAAAUUACAUGGAAGAAGCAAAUUUAUUAUUAAUCAAUUGAUCAUUUAUAAACAGCAGGAUUUAAUUUAUUUAUUUUUUUAAAAAGAAGAAAAAAAGGUUGGAAAAUAAUACAUACAUGUGUUUUGCUGAAGACUUCAACAGCUAAACGGGUGCAUUUGUUUAGGGUUCCCUUUGAUGUACCCUCGCAGCGCGUGGGAUCACGGUCGUCGUACAACACAUCUCCACGCAGGAAUGUGCUCAGUCUCAGUAGCUUCUUCUUCUUCUUCAGCUGCUGCUUCUUCUUCAAUUUGAGUUUCGUCGAAGAUGUACCCACGCGCUUGCGCUUCUUCUUCGUUUUUGUCUUGUUCACACUAUACUCGCCGGAUUCCGCCAGAUCCCCGUCCAAUUUCGGAACUUUCUUCAUGCCGUCGCCGGAUUCACAGCAACUCAUCUCUCUCUCUCUCUAGAAAUCGAAACCCUUAUUUCAAAGUUUAAUAUAUAAUGUAUAAUAUUUCUUUUAUUUGAACGAAAAAUAAAAAUAAUGGGCUGGAUUUGAGAUUGGGUUGGGCUGCCACGUGUAGGAAUAGAAUUAUAGAAAUCAGGCCCAUCCGAUCAAUUAUUAUUAUUAUUAUUAUUAUUAUUAUUAUUAUUAUUAUUAUUAUUAUUAUUAUUAUUAUUAUUAUUAUUAUUAUUAUUAUUAUUAUUAUUAUUAUUAUUAUUAUUAUUAUUAUUAUUAUUUUCUCCUAAUUUGUAUAAAUAUUCCCUUCAAUAUGCUCAUUUUCAACGUCAUGUAUUUAAAAUUAAUUAUUAUUUUUGUCACUUUUGAAAUGCUAUCAAUUGCAAAAGCUACAACAUUAGUAACCUCAAGUAUUUUAAAAAAAUGCAAGAAAAUAAUAAUAAUAAAUAAAUAAAAAUUAACCGAUAAAAUAUGUUAGUUUUACAGUUUACACACUAUGGCAUAUUUAUCCCAAAAAAAAACAAUGGAUAAAAGUUCCACCAUUGAUGACUGAUCCACACACACACACACACACACCAACAUGGAUGUGUGUGUUUUUUGUUCAGUGAGUCACGAGAACAGCGGUAGUGUUUCCGACCAACGGCUGUAGAUUAGCAGCAUUUUCCAAGCGCUCCCAAAUUUCGCUCCGUUUUUCGAUUUCCGAGUCUUGCCUUUCUUGUUCCUCUCGGUAAUUGGAAAUGCAGGCAGAUACAAGGGGUUCGUCCAUUUCUGCGAGCAUCUUCUUCACGUUGAAAGUCAGGUUGAGAAUCGAAUGGUUCCAGUGGUUCUGCGCGUUUAGUUCCAGAGCCGGAAUUACUAUCGGCAGAAUCGCUUCCCUGUUGUGCGCAAUACGGUUCACAAUCUGGUCGUUGUUCCACAGGAACAAAGCCCUCUCGGCAACCUUCAAUAUACAUACACAAUAUAAAUAAAUAAAUAAAUAAAUAAAUUGAAACUAUUUCGAUUGCAUUGAUAAUCUUAAAUCUUCGACUUUUUUUUUCCUUCAUUUCAAUGACGUAUUUUAUCGCAUCGAUAAGUCUAAGUCCAGGGCAACAACCUAGUUCAGUUAAACCUCUAUAAAUUAAUAGAGUCGGGACCAGGGAAAUUCUAUUUAUUUAGCGAAUUAUUAAAUUAUCGAGUUAAUAAUUUAAUCGAGGUUAUUAAUUUAUCGAGUAUUAAUUUAUCGAAAAUUAUACUGUAUACUAGUACCGGUGGCCAUGUUUGAACUAGCGAAUUCUUGGAACCCUUGUACUAAAAUACACUAAUACGACGAUUAUUACCGUAACAACCGAACAAAAUCAAUACAUAGCUAGUUCCCGAUUCACAUUAAACACCGAUUAUGUUACUAUCUACGCAAUCAAAUAGUACUGAUUUCGCAUUAAAUACCCGUAAAAAGAAAGCAAAUAAAACAAGUUAAUGAAGGAAGUUACCUGAAAAUUAUAACUAUUCAUGCAGUGUCGAAUCCGAUAGAACAAAGGCACCAUAACUUUCUGAAAAUCGGUCAUAUUAGUCGCCUCCAAAACCUCCUCCACCUCACCCAAAAGCAUCAACUCCUUUUGGCUAUUCGUAAUCGGCCAACAUUUCAAAAGCCCCUUGAUCAACACAACCCCCAACUUCGGCUCCUUCUCGAUGAACUGAGUCACGCAAAACGAGAGCUGCUGAAAGUAAACCCCCAAAGACUUUGGUUUGUGCAGAGGAAUCAAAGCCCUCGAAAAGAAUAUCUUGUGCUCUUCUUUUAGAGGCAGAGCGAAUCCCGUUAUCACGCUCCCGAAAAUCUCCAACAGCUCUGCGAUUCCGUUGUGCUUCUCCGUUUCGAAUACGAAUCUGUGGAAUACAUUGCUUACGCACUUUCUUAUAAACGGGCGGUGGAUCAUGAAUUUACCGUAGACCCUAUGCAGGAUCGCCUUUAGUGAGUCCCUUUCUCUUGGAUCGUCCGAUUCGAAUAAGUCCACGAUUCUUGAUAUGAAUGCAUGAUUUACGUACUUUUUUGCUACCUUUGCUUCUAGGGAAGUCGAUGUCACGAAUCUGAGGAAGAAAUCGUACACUAGCUGCAAGUGGGGCCAGGCCGGAUCGAAUAUGGGCUCGUCUUCAUUGUCGUUUUCGGUUGUGAUUCUUGAUCGGCAAUUGGGUGGGAAAACGCGGAAUAAAUUUAUCGAGCACAUUUUGCAAGAUGCUAAAAUCGCGGGCUCGGAGAAUUUCGGUGGGUUUUCGGAUACGAAUUCGAGGAGCUCGAGCAAAGUGGCUCUUUUGAGCUCCUUUUCUUGAAUGUUCUUUGCGGGGUCGGUGAAAUCGAACACAACAGAGCAAAGACUCAAUUUACUGAUGAAAAGAUUCAUUCUUUCGGAAUUCGGGACGUCUUUAAAGGCGAGCAAUGGCUCGAUACCUGCAAUCACACUGGCUGGAAAAACUGCAGCUGAGGCCCUUUUGGCAGCCGGGUUUGCAGCAUUAGGGCCUAAAUUAGGGUUUCUGGGUAAAUCCUGAUCUGAUUUUGGGGAUUUUCGGGGGAGUUUACCCAGAAAUUGCUUCCACAUUCUUGAUUUUUUUUUUUCUUCAAUUUUUUGAAAAAGAAGAUAAAAAUUGAAUCUUUAGGGUUUUCAAAUUGAAGGCGAAGGCGGGGGCGGAUUAAAACCUAACAAAGAGGGGUGAUCCGUGAUAAAAUUGAAGAUCUGGGAAAGGCCCAUUUAAAUUAGCACAUAUAAAUUGCAUAAAAAUUGGAUCUUUAAACAAUUUUUGAACAAAAAAAAAAUCAUAAAUAAUCAAUCAAUGCAGGCCGGAAAUUUCAGUUAAAUCAAGAAAAGAAAUCUGAAACAAUCACCAUCAUAGUACAAGGCAAAUCACAGACAACUACAUUAAAAAAAAAAAGGGAAAAGGGAUUUCUUGUAAGCAUGAAUAUGUAUGUAAAAAAAAAUCAAUGGCAACCACUGCAUGUGUGUGUGUGUGUGUGUGUGUGUGUCUGUAAAGAGACAACCUCAAUUAGUGAAUUGAAGGGGAGAAGAAGUAGUAUUAUUUAGAAUUAAACCCACCUAGGAUUCUUUUUAUUGUAAAAAUAGAAAGAAAGAAAGAAAGACAUACACACAUGCAGAUUACAGGGGAAAAGGUUGGAUCUUUCAAUUAUACAUUAGAGUAUUACAUCCAUGUGUUAAUGUACUUUGGUGCAGAGAGAGAAAGUUAGAGAGAGAGAGUGUGUGUGUGUGUGUUGUCAGUGGUUAAUUAUGAAAAUUGCCACUGAUGGAUGGAUAGGUUAAAAAGGGAGAUGGGAAUCAACUCAAUAAUUUCAUGUUUCCUUGUUUUUUUCUGACUUGGAAAAAGAAAUAACUGAUAUAUAUAUAUAUAUAUAUAUAUAUAUAUAUAUAUAUAUAUAUAUAUAUAUAUAUAUAUAUAUAUAUAUAUAUAUAUAUAUGUGUGUGUGUGUGUGUGUGUGUAACAAUUCAAUGUAGAGGAAAUUUUCUAUGUUAUAUGGGGCUAUUUAUAUGGGGUGAUUUGUUAGUUUAGUUAUAGAUGUGUAUUAUGCUUAGUGGAAGAUUAUCUAGCUCCACCUGCAGUUAACAAUCAUCCGAUGUAAAUAACUCGAUGUAGUAUAAAACUUCCCUAAAUUGGAAUAUUGAGUGACAAAGUUAUGUAUGAAUAAAUUAGAUUUUUGAAUUUUAAAAAAUUCAAAACAUCAAAGUUAUGGGCAAUGUUCAUUGAUUCAUGCAUAACUUUAUCGUUCGAUAUCCACUUUUGAUUAUUCGCAUUUUUUUUAUUAAAAAGCUAGCUCAAAGAAAUACAAAAUUGGUAUUUUGAAUUUUGCCGAAUUGAGCCUUAAAAUUAGUCAAAAUUACAUUGUAAGUUGAAACGAUAUUAUUAACAACAAAACGAUAUCAGUAAAAUUCAAACGGUAUUUCGAGUAAAAUUAUCCAAGUAUAUAUUUUAAUAUGUGUUUUCAUAUGCAAUUAAUUAAAUAUUAUAUAUGUAUGAAAUGAUAUAUAUCAAUGGUGUAAUUCGCUGGAAAAGUUUUGGGGCCUCGCCAAUUGUAAGGCCCAGCCCACUACCUACAUAAUUAAACAAUUAAAUAUUGGGGGCCUUUUUGCAUAAAUAAUUUUGAUAGCCUAUAUUAAUUAAUACAGUCGGACCAGAUAAAUUGAAUUAAUUUAAUGAAAUAUUAAUUUUACAAAAUAUUGUUUAAAACAUUAUUCUUGAGUUGGGAUCAAAAAAAUAUUAUUUAAACGAGAUUAUUAAUCUAGUAAUUAUUAAUUUAUUGAGGUUGUACUGUAUCCCCGAAUAUUAAUUUAUCGAUUUUUACGAAAUGUAUCUCAUCAUACUAUACGAGAGUUUUGAAAUAAAGAUUAUAAUUUUUUUUUACCAAAAUAAUAAUAAAAAAAAUCAAAAGUGUUAAUCACGUUCCGGGACAGGAGAGUUAAUACACAUACACACAAUUACGGCCACCCCCUAAGUUGGGUCAAAUUACGAAAACACCCCCCCCCCCUAUUUGGGUAACUACAGUCGCCCCUCAACUAUUUAUUAUCUUACGAAACGACCCCUCGAAAGGUAAAUUUAGGGAUGUUAAUUCGGUAAAACCGAACCAAAAUUUCUGUACGCCAACAUUUCAUACCGUUUACCGAACUAAAUAUACGAUUUAGUUCGAUAAAUAAUCGAAUUACAUAAAUUUCAUGUAAAAAUAUCUAAAAUGAGAGGUAGCUAUAAUUACCUAAACAAUAGAGGUUUUUUUGCAAUUUAACCAUAUUUUAAGGAUGGCUUAAUUUGCCUAUUACUAUAUGUAAAUCUAAUGUUUCAAUUUACAUAAUAUAAAUAACCAGACGUAUCAUCUAAUUUCUCGAUAUUAACGUACUUUCUAAAUAAAACAUAAACAUCAAAAUAGAAAAGUAUGAGUUCAAUAAAUAGAAUAUUCUCAGGUGACCAACCCAAGCCAAAGAUAAAAUCUUUAUUUAUUAAAAAAACAAAAAGAAAAAAAAAAACGCGUCAAUAAAUUCAAUUUUCGACAACGAAUUCAAAGCUUUCGUUCGCAGAAAUCUUCAUCAGAUUGCCCCCUUUUCGUCAGACCCUCGUUAUCUGGUCCGUAAUUCUUUCCAACUUUUCAUCUGUGAUUUUUUUUUCAUAAUUAUAUUCAGGUAGUUUAAUUCGUUGUCGUCGAUAAUUAGUUGAUUACUUUUCAGUUUUUGUUUUUAAUUUCUCUGUUGCAUUUGAGUUUGAAUUUUCAAUGUUUACACCGAGGGUUUGUUGAAUUUUUUUUUUUAUUUGUUGAUUUCAUUUUCGCCGAUAACAAUUCGGAAGAUGGUCAACGAUCUAAUGUUAUUGAGGGAUUGUAUUUUUUGGGGGUUUGAAAACUAAUUUAGGUUACGAAGUUUGAAUUUAAUCCGUCUUUUCUUUGUCCAUCAUGUGAAAAUGGUGUUUAUCUGUUGUAAUGAUGGAGUUAGGUAUUGGAAAUUAUAAUACACUUCUGUUUGUAUUUGGGGCUAGGGUUAAGUAUUUAAGAUUGUUGAUUCGAGUUAAAUGAAUAUAGUUUACUGUGCAUUUACGACACCGUUGUACGUUUGCACGUUGUUUAGUUUUUUCGUUUAUUUUCUCGUUGUUCCGUUGAUUGUCGAAGUACAUAUAAGUUUGUUCUAACCUGCUUGUGUUGUUGUGUGCUUCAAACAGGAAAGAGGGUUGUUGCAAUCUGAUUGCAUUAGUCGAAAACAGGGCAAAAAAUUCAAGAUUCGAGCGACUUCAUUACAUUAUUGAUUUUACUUUCGGAAAAAAAGGUUUUCGAAGUACUAUAUUAUAAUCCCAUGUUUUCCGUGCGUGGGACAAGUGUACGACUCGGAUGGCCUUUCCCGUAGUGGGUCUUCAUCGUAAAAGCCAAACAAACAAAGUCCCUCUGUUAAUGGAGCGUGCAGAAACUCGUAAUGAUAGUGAACACAUAAUCGACAUAGCUGGCACCAGUAAUGCUUCUUCUUCUUCAUCGUCGUCGUCUAGUUCGUCCAACGAAAGACCGUCCAAUGGACAAAACAGUGAAGAUCUUCCGUCCACUAGUUCACGGGUCCCGGUGUAUCAACCUCAACUACUUUCUUCGGGGUCAAAUUCAAGAAAUUCGUCGCUUCUUCGAAGAGGGAAUACUCGAGGGCGGCAAAGGAGCCCGUUAAAUUCGGGUCUGUGGAUAUCUGUUGAGCUGGUUUUGACAGUUAGUCAAAUUAUCGCCGCUAUUGUUGUUUUAUCUUUGUCGGAGCACGAGAAGCCACAAGCUCCGUUAAGAGCGUGGGUUGUGGGUUACGCAACUGGUUGUACGGCGAUUCUUCCACUUUUGUACUGGCGGUUUAGAUAUCGAAACCAGGGUACCGAACAGGAGGCAGCAUCUCAGAUUCGAUUGGAAUCUUCCGUCGGGAAUAAUAGCGGGGCACCCUUGACUCGGAGAGUCGUUGAAGGGGAAGAUCGCCGGUCAACUGGUGCGUUGACCAGAGGUGCCCAGGGUAUUGGGUUGCCGAAUGCAAGGUAAUUCUCAGUACAUUUACAACGUUUAUCGAUUUUAAAGACUAACAUCUGUGUGUUGUUUGUGUUAUACGUGUUGAACUUGUGGGGAAUUGCAAUAUAAUAAAAUAGUUGUGGGCUACUAUUGCAGGCUUAAGGUAUUCGUCGAAUAUUUCAAGAUGGCUUUGGAUUGCUUCUUUGCUGUUUGGUUUGUCGUUGGCAAUGUAUGGAUUUUCGGAGGGCACUCGUCAUCUGCUGAAGCUCCUAACUUGUACAGGUAAUGCUUUACUCUGUUUCUUGUUCAAUUUUUUUUUUAAUUUUUUUAUUUUUUAAUUUAUUUUUAAUUGCAGGUUGUGUAUAGUAUUUCUAGCCUUUAGCUGCAUCGGAUACGCUAUGCCGUUUAUUCUAUGCACUACAAUCUGCUGCUGCCUUCCUUGUAUAAUAUCAGUCUUGGGCUUCAGAGAAGAUUUUUCCCAGAAUAGAGGAGCUACUCCAGAAUCGAUUAAUUCUCUUCCGACCUAUAAAUUCAAAGCGAAAAAAAAUAAGAGCGGCAAUGAUAAGGAAGGCGGCAUAGUGGCGGCAGGAACAGAGAAAGAGCGUGUGAUAUCCGAAGAGGAUGCGGUUAGCUUCUCUUAUCUUGGUUUUACAAAUUUGUCAAACUUUUUUGUUGACUUCAAUGCUUUGAUGUAUCAAAUAAUCAGCUCCUAAAAAUAAUAUCUUUAUUAUUCUACUCUGUAGGUUUGCUGUAUUUGCUUAGCAAAAUACGCGAACAACGACGAGCUUCGAGAGUUGCCUUGCUCACAUUUCUUUCACAAAGAAUGUGUCGAUAAAUGGCUGAAAAUCAAUGCAUCGUGUCCACUCUGCAAAGCUGAAGUCGGUGAGACGAUUUUGACUUCACUAACAGAAGCCACUGCCAGCUUGCGAAAUAGCACCGUUUGAUGAAUUUGUCGAUAAAGGAAAGAAAAAAAAACUUCUUAUUUUUUUCGGGUUUAAAUUGGUUCUUUUAAUCGAGGAAGCUCGAUCAGUUAUUUAUGGUUUGAGUCUUUUUUAUGCCCCAUAAGUUGAUAAUUUUUUUGAUUGUUUGUUUGGGAUGUAGAAGAAUCGUUGACCUUUGUAGCUUUUCUGUGUAUACGUGUUGAUUUUCGAUUUCUAUGGGAGAAAGAUUUAUGUAACAAUGCCGGUUUAUGUAUAUGCUUCUUGUUUGUUUCAGUGAAUAUUUUACAAUCAUGUCACGUUAUUAAUAAAAUGUACUCGAACGAUUUAAUCACAUCAUAUUUAGGGGUGUGACUGAAACUCGAGUUUUUCGAGCACGAGCUCGAAAUGAUCUUGCUUGCUUUUGUCUUUUGAUCAUAAGAGGGUUACAUUAAUUCAAAAAGAAAUACAAGAGAUAGUUUGAGAUGUUACAACUAAGCACUAACACAAUCCACAAAAUCUACUAUCUUUCAUCCUCCAAGGGCCCGCUUGAGCCCGGCCCGUUGCUCGCCCGUCAAUUUAGUGGGAAAUUUAACUUCGAAUCGGAUUUUCAAAUCGCCUCUACCGGUGGUGGUCCCCUUUGUAAUGGGCAUGCCUUCUCUCGAAACCACCAGUUCAUAACCGGGGCUCACGAUGUCGCUGACGGGGACCGACAGACUGCGAUUAUCCAGCGUGGUGAGGUCCACGGUAGUACCACCGAUCGCUUCCGCCAGAGUCACACGAUGGCUCAUGAUCAAAUCGUUGCCGUCCCUCUUGAAGGUUGCGUGGGGCUUCUCGUCGAUCACAAACACGAGAUCCGCUGGGAGCUGGUUCAACAGCUCGAUUCCUUUGUCUUGGAACGUUAUCUUUGUUCCCUUUUUCCAGCCGGGCUUUAUGUCUAUCGUUAAUAUCUCCGUUUCUGUCACUAGACGCCUACGCAAGGGCAUGAUAGACAAUAUAAUCAAGGUGUGUCAAAUGUAUCAAGAAAUAUGAGAGAGAGAGAGAGAGAGAGAGAGAUUUACCCAUUAGCAUCAAGAACUUGUCUAGAGAUCUUCAUUUUUCUAGUAGAACCAGAAUACAACUCCUCAAGUGUACAAGGCAAUUUACUCUCGACAGGUGGUGGCUUCUUCAUUGCCAUGUUAACCGAUCCACUCCCAUCACCCGACGAGUUUCUGAACAUAUUAUCACCGUCCGAUGAAAACCUCAUCGACCUACCAGCCGAUCCGAAUCCAAACGGGCUACUCCCGAAAAAUUCAGCAAAAAUAUCUUCCGCAUUUCUUGAAUUGAACCCGUUUUGGCUACCCGUCGAACCGGGGGGCGGUGGGGCAUCUUUUAGACCUUCUUCUCCGUCUUGGUCGUAAAUUUGCCUUUUUUGAGGAUCACUCAAUACCUAACAAUAAUGAAACAAUAAAAAAUAUGGCAUAUCAAUCUCUCUCUCUCUCUCUCUCUCUCAUGCAUGCAUGAAUGAAUGUUAAAGAAAGUACAGAUACAUACAUCGUAGGCUUCGGAGAUUUGCUUAAAUUUGGCUUCGGCUUCAAUCUUGUUGUUGGGAUUUUUGUCUGGAUGCCAUUUCAUAGCUAAUCUUCUGUAAGCCUUCUUCAAAUCAUCCUCUGUUGCACUUCUCUCCACCUUAAGUACGUCGUAAUAAUCCACCCCCAUUUUUCUUUUCUUUUCUUUUUCAAUCACAAAAUGCAGAUUAAUUAUAUUCUCAGAUCAUCAAUUUCAUAACAGCAACCACUAAUUCAGAGCCCCAUUUCCCUUAUUUCAAGAAAAUAAAAAGGGUUCUUGAAGAUAUUUUUUUUAUUUUUUUAAAUUCAAGAUUUUGUGCAGAAUAUGAAUGUGGGAUCUUUAAUUUUCAGAGAGAAGAAUGUCCUCUUUCCUGUGGGGGUAUAUACCUCUUACCGUUAGUUAUUAUGGUUUGUAUGUCUUUUGGGAAGGAAAAAGUAAUAUUAAAUAAAUGAAAGGGCCGAAAAAUAAAUAUUUAUUAGAGUACCACCGCACUUGGCGGGAGGAGGUGGAGGCCUCUCAUUUCCUUUUUUCCCAAUUAAUAUUGCAGAUGAGCUGAUGAUGUGAUAGCACGAUUUAUUUAUUUAUUUCAAUAUCUCGAAUAUUAAAUAAAUAUUUUAUAUGAUCUUUCAACCCGAGCACAUAUAAAUAAAUAAAUUGUUAUAAAUAUUUGCACCAUUAAAUAAUACAUACGCUCAUGUUUUCAUUCUUCUGAACUGACAAUUCAAUUAACUUAUAAUAACAUUAUAAAUAUUACUCUAGAGGUAGUAUCCCCGGUUAUUGAGAUGCUACACCUAGUGAUUUUUAACCAUUAAUUAUGUGCAGAUCAACGGUUAUUAAUCACACCCAGUGUGCUUCACAAAAUGUAGCGUCAAAUAAACUGUAUAUAUAAUCACAUGUUAACGGGGUAAUUAUAAUUUACAGAUUCAGUUGCAUUUUCUUAUAAAUAAGUUAAAAGCAUCAAGAAAAACCCUAAAUAAGUGCUUAUUUAUGUAGCAAUGAAUACUGAAAAUGUAUAAAGCUUUUGAUUUCUGAAAAGUACUUUUCUUCACCUCAUGUUUUAUCCAAGUAGCAAAACUGAAGAUCAAGAAAGUCUCAAUCAUCAUCAACAAGCUAAUAUAAUAGCACAGACAAUUUGGUUGUACCUUUCAAACAAAAAACCCCAAUAAACAUAGAAAGCGCAAGCAGAUACAAUCUAUACAACCUGAAGAAAAGAAAAAAAAGAAAAAAAAACGAACGUAUCGACACUGAUCUUAACUUGAAAGGAGGAGAAGAAAGGGAGUUUCCCAAUUCACAAGUUUAUAUCCACAAUCUCAAAAGGCACCCCAUUAAAACUGUUAGCACGAAAAUCGAGCAUAUUAGCUCGGAGAAGUCAUGUUGGACGAACCAGAUUUCGAAGCUCCAGCUUCUGCAGUAACGACGUUCUUUACUUUGUGUGGUGACAGCUCGCUAACAGAUCCAGAUUCCGACACAUCACCAAUGUCCAAAGUGUCUGGCAGCUUAUCCGAUGAAUCAUCAUCAGGGUACAUCUGUCAAAUGUAAUGAUACAAUUUUAUCUCCGAUUAUACUCAAAGUUAUACAAAUAUACUAUAAUGUGCAUUUACCAUAUACGAAUAUAGUAUAAUAUAGUAUAACUUGUAUCUAUCAAAGGCCUAGGUAAAUCUUGCUUAUGUUGGAAGCCGAAAAAUACUUUAUGUACACCAGAGAAAACUGUGGCGUAUACACUCAAAAAAUAUAUUUCCAUUAAAAUUUGAUUGAAGCUACUAUAUAAAUACCUCGCGAAAUGAGGCAAAAGCAAAGCGUACAAAAAUAGCAAAAAAAUUAUCAACCAUAGCAGCAGCAAGAAAAGAGCAACAUGACAUGAAAGUCAGGUUCAAUCUUCUUUAGGGUAAUUUACCAAUUCAUUUUUUUUCUCCGUCACAUUCAAACCACAGAAUCCUUAAGCUACUAGACUAGGCACGAGAUGGUCAAUGGAUUUUAGCAAAUUUUAGCAGUGACCAAAUGUCAAUGACGUGCAGAAUAUGAAAGCCAACGACAGCGAAAAAUACAAACACAAAUGCGCUGAAAUGAACACAAAACUAAAAACUUAAAUAGCUGAAUUUUUUCGAAUAUUCAAGAAAUUACCUCAAGUUGUUGUAGCAUGUCGACUGCAGCAUCAAGGUCACAUCUGUUGGCUAAAUAGACAUCAGAAAGAGACUCAUUUGAUAUUCCAGGAAAGUUCAUCUGAAGGAAAGCUAAGUCCAUGUCGAAAUAUUCAUCAAAGUUUGGCCUUUCAGGAUUCUCGUUCGGGUACUGUGAGGUCGAGGCAAAGAGUUCACCACCACGGUAGGGAAAUUCAGCAGUUUGAGAAAUACUUUGGGGCCGAGCUUGAGGCAAUGUAGUGUUUGGCUGAUAGCCAGACCAGACAGCCCCGUUUCCAUUAUUCAGUUCUUGUGCUGAAUUAAACUCUCGGUUUACUUCAGUAACCCCUCUUUGAAAGAGGGGUACAUACGAUGCUGCAAAGGGAUUUAAAGAAGACGAUACUUCCUUCAUAUUGCUCUGCAAAAUGGAAAUCAAAACUGAAGACAUGUGUAUACGUGAUCCUAUAACAACGAAUUUAAUCAUUAAUUCUUUGUGCUGAAAAACCGAGCAAUCCUGGAUACUCUCCUAAAUUUCAGAAUAUGAACAUCACCAAAAUAUCAACGGAAAUUGUUUCCAGAAUCAAAUGAAUUAAUCAUAACUAGAAACGAGGAAGAAUUCAUUUAAACCUGUGUUUACUACAUGUUGACCAAUCAGAAACCACCAUCGAAGAAGCACAUAGAUCUAAAAAUUAUAGCAAUCGAAUCAAUUAAUAGUGAUUCGCGGGGUUCAUUCCAGUUCACACUCAUUUUUUUUUAACUUAAGAUAACAGAGGAAGAACAAGCAUUUCUUUUCCGAACAUGUCACUUUAUCAACAAACUUCUUUGUUACUUCAAAUUUCUUCUCACAGAUUGCAAGAACACAGGAAAAUAAAAUAAAUAAAUUAAAUUACCAAUUCAUCCAUCCAUAUGCACAUAACGAAAUCUAAAGAACGAGAAAUUCACGGAAUACAAAAAGCUGCAUGCUCGUACUGAAAAGUAACAGAUUAAAAGUUUAAAACCAACACACAAAACGACAAAACAAAGAAAUCACCAAAAGUUCAGAGAAUAUAUGAAUCAAUCGAUCCAUAAGAAGGAAAAUUACAACUACAUCAUACAAUGAUCACAGAAAUUGAGAAGAGGAAAAAAGGACUCACGCGUUGAAUCAGAAACGACCGGAACGAAUUUCGGAGGAUGAGCAAACCCUAGAAAUCGCUUGAGAAUUGCAGCGAAGAAGAAAAUCAAAAGGGAAUAAUUGGGGAGAAUUUUGCAAUCAUAGUGAAGGGAUUCGGAAAAAUGAAAAAUGCGGAAUGUUUUUAAUUUUUUAGAAUUUGUCCUUUUAUGGAGAAUGAUGUCAGUUACUUUUUUACAAAUUUUUAUUUACUUUUUCUAUUUAUUUUUAGUAACGUGUAAAAUUACCGAACUAAAUAGUCUAUCCACAAUUUAAUAAUUACAAUUUGGCAUAAGAAUUUUAAUUAUUGAUUAUUGAAAUAUGUUCAAAGAAUUUGUGCCAAACAUUGGAUUUCAUGUUAAAACUUAAAAGUUACUAUUUAUAUAGGGGUUUGACUCUAAUAAUCAGACUCAGAGCUCGAGCCAUUUCUGUAUAUUUACAUGUUUUUUUUAAUUUUAAUAAUAAUAUUAUAAUUUUAUUAUUAUAAAUUAUAAUAAAAAAAAUAACCUGUAAUUUAUUUUUUAAUUAUUUUUAUGAAUUUAUUAUAUAAUGUUAUAUUAAUUAUAUUUAAAUAACCGUAAAAAAAAUUAGCUAGCACAAGAACAACUAAGAAUGAGCUCGGACUCGACACAUCAGAAAAUUCAAGCUCGAAAAAUUUCAAGUUCGAGAGUUUGAGCUUUAUUUGUAGUCAUCUCAGCUCGUUCACACACCUAAUAUGGAUUAAGAAAAAUGCUUGGUUGGUUCAGGGUUAUGUAAAGAAAACUUUAGGUCUAUUUUCCUUGGAAAAACAUUAUUGAAAAUAGGUUUAAAAUGCAAGGUGAUGCUCAACUUACAUUUCUAGCUUGGGAGAAUGCUUUUAUGAGUUUUAAAAAAAAAAAAAAAAAAUCGCAAAAUUUUUAGAUUUGAUCCAAAUUUAAUUCAAAAAGUAUUUUGAAAUAUUUAAAAUAUUCAAAAAAAAUCAAUAAAUUCGGAUCCCAUCCGUCCAAUUUCCGGCCCCAAUUUGAUGAUAAACCAAGGCCUAAAAAAGGGGCAAUGAAAGGAACCAAACACAUUCCACUAAUUGUAAACCAAAAAUAAAACCAAACAAAUUUGGUACAAAAACAUAUAACCAAACAUCAUGCCAACCUAGAUAAACAGAUACAUACAUCACAAAGUACAAGUAUGUUACAACCUGCUCUAGGAAAGUUUCCCGAAAAAGAAAAAGAAAAAAAAGUACCCGAUAAAAAAAACAAGUUCAUCAAUAACGAAAAAUCCCCCAAAACAUGUAAAAGUUAUAUCAGAAGUUCAUUUAUCGAAGUUUAUUAAGUAAAUAAAAAAAACCCGUCUCCAUCUGUAUAUGAUAUAGCUCGACCAAUUUUCUCUUUUUGUCUUACCGGAUUGGCUGCUGGUUGUAAUGGUUCUUCUCUUUCUUCUUAGCGGCAGCAAGUCUUGCAGUUCUAGCGGCAGCCUCCACAGCAACAGCUCUAGCAGCGGCAGAAGAAUCCACAUUGGACUUCUUUUUCUUUGCCGAUGCAACUUUCUUGAGCCUCUCUUUCACAUCAACUGUAGAUGUGUCUUCCUCCACCUGUUCAGUUCCAGUGGUUUCGUCUGGUUCGUUAAUGGCUUCCUUCACCUCUUUGGAAGCUGCUUUAUCCUUCUUUUUCUUCUUCUUUGCACUUUUCGAUUCUACAGGGACGUUAUCCUUUUUCUCCUCAUCUCCAUUCACUUUGGAGACUUCUGCAAAUGGCAAAAAAAAAUUACAGAGAACUUCAGUCUACUUUGAUAGUAACACCAGAUCCACACCAGAAAGUGUAGCAAAAUACAGAAUAAAGACCGGAUAGGAUGAUUUUGCAUUCAUAAAACAGAUUAAAUGGGUUUAUUUACGGGUGGAAAUCAGAUGGAUUCGAUUGGAAUAAGCCACUUGCAGAAAAAUUCCAAUUUUUUUCGGAAGUGAAAAACUAACUACAAUUCCGUUCAUAAAAAAUCAGAAAAAAUCGGAAAUCAGAAAUUGGAAUGAGAAAAAUCGUUCCAAAAUCGAAAUCUUCCGGUCGGAAAUCAGCAAAUUCAGAAAACUCAAAUUUUUUAAUCACCUAAAAUAUAAAAUGCACAAUAAAAUUUUGAUAUUGUAAGUAUAAUUUUGGGAAAAGAAAAUUCGGAUUUUUCAGAAGUUAAAAGAGGAUCGGAAAUCGGAAUCUCAUAUAUAUUCUAAUCCCGAUCCAAAGAAAUUCGGGAUGAAAAACACUGUUCCAAAAUUAGAAAAAAUCGGAAUCGGGGUCGGCGAAAAUCGGAUAGUCUGUUUCAAUUUCCACCCCUAGGUUAUCUAAAAGAACUAUCUCGAUAUCAAAAUAAACUGGACAAUUUUUUUCAAAGAGAGGAAACAAUGUUUACCAGAUUGCUCAUCUUCAGCUUUGUCUUUCGGGGUCACACCAAAAUCAGCUAAAAUAGCCUCUAGUUCAGCUAGCUCCUUUUUCCUUCGCUCCUUCUUGGAGAGCUGUCUUUCUGUCUCUUUCGGUGCUGGAGAGGCCACUACAGGCUUUUCCACCGUCAACUCGGGUUGUUCAUGGACCUCUGACUCACUGUCAUUCCCCUCUUCCGCAUCGUCAUCACCUUCAUCAAGAAGUUCGUCUUCAGUUUCACUUUCCUGCAAUUAGCACGAGAAACCAAAAUUAGUCGCAAAUCCAAUUAUAAUACAUUCCAUCCCAAUGUAGAUACAGCAAGGAUGCCCAAAGAUGUGGUUUUCUUGGUCAGAAAAACUUCUGCACAGAUAGCUACACUGAAAUUUCUCUCAUUAAAAAAGACAGACGUGAAAUGUUGCAUAGCUUGAAAUGGUUUGUCAAAGGUAAUAAAUGUAUGAUUACAGAACCAUAGACACUGAAAUAGUUGAAGCAAUAAAAAAAUCAGUUUUGAUUAAGAGAUGAAUGCCAGGCCUACAGAAAAGGUUACAAUCCAGAAGACUAAGGAAACAUUUUAGAGAUCACAAGGCUGAACGAUGAUGACAGAUGUAGCUUCGAUAGAUGAUCACUCACCAUAAACAUAACUACCUUAUACGAAAAGUCGCUAAGGUAGGCUUUCGAAAUAGAGGCAUGGAAAAGAACACGGAGAGAUGUAAACAACGUACACGUGUACAACGAUAUACGGAGGGGGAAAGAUGCAGUCGAGUGCACAUAAAUAUGUAAUGGGAUGCGGAACAGCAGAAACGCGUGGGGAAACAUACACGUGUACAAGGUUUUUGAUUAAAGAAAUCACCCAUACACCAUUUAUUGCUAAUAGAUUUUCAAAAAAGUUAUUUUGAAGAAAUGCACCAUAAAUGACCAAUGAUUAGACGACAAUUGGUAACCAAAAGCAGAUAGAAUCUUCUUGAAAGAAGACUGCAAGAUAAUUUUCCUUAUAAACCAAUCUUCUUGAUCAGAUAGAUAAUGAUGCACGUGCAAGGCCAAAAUCCCUUAUAAACCGAUCCACACAUUUCAAAUGAUUUACAUGCAGAUAAAUGCGUUGAUUUGAACAUUCUAAAGAUAGAAUGCUAAUCAACUUUGAUAACAGAAAUCACAAGUGAAAAAAGCAGAUUUUACGAUUUUGCUCCACAGCCGUUACAUAGCAGAAAAUUCGCUAAAACUUCGGGCUAUGGCAACAUCAAAAUCCUUGGAACAUAUGAAAGGUAUGGUACAAAAUGAGAUGGCACACAUUGAAAAUCUUUCAAAGUCAAUUCAACCAAGAACAUGGAUGACUAGUUUAUCAUAGAAAUCAACCACGUGUACGACAAGCAUGAUGUUAACUAUAUAACGACAAACAAAUCAUAGCAUUUAAACAAAAGCACCUUUUAGGAGAUUAUGAAAAGCAAAUCCAGCAAACGAAUAAAUUGUUACAUGAUAUGGCGACACGUUACAUGUCACAUGGAUAACAUAUUGACAGUUUAUUCUCAGCUAAAUUUCAAUACAACAUCUUUAUGAUUAACUUAAUAACUGAAUAAAAACACCUUUACAAAAAUACAAAAAUCAUAAAAGGCAAAAUACAGCAGACGAUUAAUCUUCCGGUGUAAAUGUAAUUAUGAUUUCAGACACAGUCUUUGAUAUAUUAAUUCCAAAACAACAUAUCUCAGCUACAUAUUCACUAGAACCCCUUCAAAGCCAAUUCAAGCAAAAGACGUAAUGCAUGAGCCAUAUAAUUUAUCAUACAAGUCAUUUAAAAUAACUACGAAUUUUACUACAAAACGACAAAAUGCGACGCAACAUGUGGACUAAAAACACGAUCAACAAAUGCAAGACACGAUCAACAAAUGCAAGACACGAUCAACAAAUGAAAGACCUAGCAAACGACUUAUUCUUUAUCAUCAUAUCCGAAAACAGAAAAAACAGAACACAUAAAAAUCAAACCAAAUCAUAAUUCUUUAUACCUCAACAAGAUCCGGUUUAUGAGUCUCCCCUGUCUCAUUCAAACCAGAAGCAGCCCACAUCGCCUGCGGCGGAGCAGUGGUUGCAUAGUAAUCGUCAUCAUCCUCAUCAUCGACAUCCGCCCACGACUUCACAGUCAAUGGAGCCGGAGCCCAAAACACCUGCUUCUCGGCCCCACCAGCAGCUUUGGAGGUGCCCUUACCACCCUUCGAUGAGCCCUUCUCCUUGUCAGACUUCUUCUUCUUCCUCAAACUCUCCAAAGCUGCAAAAACAUUGCUGUUGCUCACAGUAAACGAUCCUUCCUCCCUUCUAUUCCCACCUCCAACCAUUCUUCUAUAUCUGAAAAUUCAAAAACAACACCUCGAGAAAACGUAGGGAAUUACUGGAAUUUGAUACAAAGCCGGAGCUCAAUAUAACAGCAAUUCCCUAUGAUUUUCAGGGUACACAGAUUUUUAGGAGUUACUAAAUACUUUUUUCAGAAUAAAACAACAAUCAACAACAAAGAGGAUUAAAUUCAAUCGAAACAAAGAUGGGUAACUCACGAUUAAUCAAGAGAUAAGCAAGUGUUCUCAGAAAAAAAAAAUUAAUCGGUACAAGUUCAGGAAAAAAUUAACGAUUAAAUAUCUGAUUUUCCGAUGAUAUUCGAGCUAUCGACAGAUUUGAGAAUUCGAUUCAACGAAUGUAGGGCUAACAAGGAAUUAGGGUUUCGAAAAUUGAAGAGAUAGAGAUGCGGAGUGUGUGCUAGGGUUCCGAGUUUUGAAGAUACGGUAAGCGUAUCUUCUUAUUAUUUUUUUUUGGGUGUGUGUGUAUAUGAGUGUAAUGUGUGUAUAUCCGUUACGUAUAGCGUUAAAACGCUGAUAUGUAUGUAUAGAGAGAGAAAGAGAGGGUUUGAGCAAUGGAGAUGCUGUACUGUGGUGCAGAUAGCGUGAGGGAGGAAGACGGUGAUUAUAUACUUGCGGUUUGUGUCGAAUUUCUAGUCCUCCUAGUUUCGGUUAUUUUCAUUUUGACCCCAAAAUGUUUUUGUUUUUUUCUUCAUGUAAUUAUUUUGUUAAUCUAUUACUUUUAUUUAUUUUUUUAGAUUUUUGCUUUAUUUUUAAUAUUUAUAAAGGUUGUAAAUCUAGAGUCGGUGAUGAUCAUUACUAUUUUUAUUUGUUUUUACAAGGAGGUAUCAAAAUUGGAGAUUGAUGGCAAAUAUCAAUUAUGUAUAUUAUAAAUACAAUUUAAAAAGUCAAAAUAAAAAAUAAAAAAAGGACACGUGUCGUUUUGUUAAUGGGGAAGGAUAGGAUUUUGGAUGAGAAAGGUUUUAAUGACUAAUUAAUUUGAUUUUGAAAAUCACUAUCCCCUUUUAAAAAAGAGAAAAGAAAAUAAUGUUGAAAAUCUAGCCAAGAAUUUGACUCUCAAAAUGCAAAAUCUUAUUUAGAAUACAUACAAUGCCUUUUUAUUUAUUCUUGUUAUCAAGAAAUUUUGCAUGUAUUUACUUUUUUGGUAAGUGUAAAAAAUAGGGAUGGCAAUAGGGCGUGUAUUGCGUAACACGGUUACGUACCCUUUUCGGGUGAAUAGUCACCAAAUAAAUGUAAAAAAAUAUUUAUUAAUUUAUUUAAAAUAAUUAUUACAAACAUUCUUACAUAAUACAAACACUAUAUGGCAAUUUACAUUCUUACAUAAUACAAACACUAUAUGGCAAUUUACACACAAAGUUCCUGAACAAAUUGCAUGAAUUGUGAUAUACAAAGAAACAAUCUUACAAGUCUAGAUACAAAUAAUAUAUUUUCUUCAUGUAUCUAUCUCAUUAAGCCACAAAGAAUAGGAAUAUGGUAAGAAAGAAAAUCAAUACGAAGAAUAUUUUGAUCAUCAGCCAUCGAUUCGAAGAGAUGCUAUUUAGAUACUUGAGCAAAGCUCCCUGAGCUCCCUCGACAUUUGCCAGCGUGUCCUCCAUGUUCUCGUCAAUCCUAUAAAAGAAAAUACAAAAUAAAAAAUAAAAAAUAAAUCAUCAAUGUUCGUAAUCAUUGUAAGAAGAAAUGACUGAGUAAUUAUGUAAAUUAGGUGUCACUGAUCCAUGGGGAUUAACAAAAUAAAAUAAUUUAUUCAUUUUUCGAACAUGGUACUAAUGUAAAUCAAUCCAGGCAAAUCCGUGCUUACGUAAAUUGAAAUGAAACCAGCAGAGCGUUGUGUUUAUCCUUUAUGCAGGAACAACAAGAAGAAUUACCGUACGACAAAGAAUUGUUGAAUUUAUUAUUUAUGCGCAGUCUCAGUUAAUUGUUUGAUGUUACUUGAUCAUACGGCCAUGUUUUUUCAGCAAUACAGUGUAAUAAUAAUAAUAAUAAUAAUAAUAAGGGCAAAUUACAACCACCCCCGAGGUAUGGCCAAAUUACAAAAAAACCCCUCUUGUUUGGGUAAUUACAGCCACCCCUCCUUUUAAAUAUUUUUACAUAAAAUUUAUGUAAUUCGGUUAUUUACCGAACCAAAUCGUAUAUUCAGUUCGGUAAACGGUAUGAAAUGUUGGCGUACCGAAAUUUUGAUUUGGUUUUACCGAUUUAACAUCCCUAAAUUUACCUCUGGAGGGGUAUUUUCGUAAGAUAAUACAUAGUUGAGGGGGUGGCUGUAAUUAUCCAAACAUGAGGAAUUUUUUCGUAAUUUGACCAUACCCCAGGGGGUUGGUUGUAAUUUACCUAAAAAUAAUAAGAGUAUAAAAGGAGCAUUAUGCAGACCUGAUAGCAAUCUCGCCGUGCUCGGAGACAAUGGUAGCGAGCUGAUUGAAGAUAUUGCCCAGCUCUUGAAUUGUCGAUUCCACGUUUUGAAGAGCCUCGGCUCUACUCUGCAUGUAGCUGUCCUGUAACGGAACCAUUUCCUGUUGCUGCUGGUUUUGUUGCUGCUGCAGUAAUGGCUGAGACUCCCCUUCCGCCUGGUUCCUGUUAUACGAAUCGAAAGAAAAAUAAGUUAUUAUAGCAAAUGAGAAUCUUUUUAUAUUUGGGAAAAUUAUUUCAUACUGUUUUGUACUAUUAGUAUUACAUGAUAUACUAUACCAGAACGCGUAUUCAGGUCUUUUUCAGAAACUAUUUACGCACUAAACCAUCUGAACAAUUAUGGAUAACUUUCUUUGAGGUAUUUACGUUAAGGUUUUUUUUUUUUUUUUUUUGCCGGGGUGGGGGUGAGUUAACAAUUAAGUAGAAACAUUUAUUUACGAUCUUACCUAGGGAACAUUUGUGAUGAAGAUUGUCCCUCAUUAGCCCAUGGAAGAGGAGGAGCCGCCGAAGUACUGGCGGCAGACUUGCCAGCCAAAGGACGCUGACGAAUAAAAGGAUUUGUAGGAUUCUUGGAAACGGAAGAGGAAAACAUUUGUCGCCUGUUUUCAUGAACCUUCAAAUUCUGUUAAAAAAUAAAACAGAAAUGCAUUUUAUGUCAGUGGAUAGUAGUUUGUACAGAUAUAUCAAAAUCGAUGGAUUUUUGGACAAAAUGAAAAAUAAAGAAUCCGGGUUCACCUCUGUUCGCAAGGUCAAAACAUCCUUGAACUCUUUUGUUGUGCUCAUCAAACGAUUCUUCAGAUCAUCAACAACCGUGGUAGAAUGGCUGGUGUUGUCGGAGGAUACGGGCCCACUUUCGUUUCGGGAAUUUGAGAGAAACUGGAGAUCAACCACUGCAGAAUUGAGAGCUGUUAUAUCUUGCUUGAUAACUGCAGUUAGCUCCUGAAUUUCCAUGGUAGGGUCGUCGAAAACUGACGUCCUCUUUGCCACUGCACGAGAACGCAAUAUGUUACCAAUUCGAUCAUGACACAAUAAAAUGGAUAAAUACAAUCUUAACAUAAAAUGUAAGCCCGCAAACACUUAAUUGAUCUCGUCCAAACACACAACAACACAACCACGUUACCAGUGCAAAGACUUUUCCAACGGGAUAAGAUGAAAUUUACGUGUUUGCUCGAUUAAUAUACAAUCUCUAUAUUAUUUAUAGAUCCUGAAUAGUGAAGGUUUUAAACUUCUGAUCAUUCAAUGAGGACUCGGUUCAGGUCAGGGUCAAACCCGAUCUUCGAAGACUAACCACCACUUAGUGCGUGUUUCAUAUACAUAUCCACUCAACCUUUAACCAAUGGCUACACGUAGCAAAUACAAGUGAAAUAAAAAUAUCAAACAGAACAAAAUGCACUUCAAUCCUAUCCGACAAUCAAAUUAGUCAACAUUAUUUGAAUUUAAGAUACAUAAAAACCAUAAAUAAAAAUACAUAGCGCAAAAAUUAUAAUAAUAAGCAUGAAUAUAAAUCAAAUUCGAUUUUAUAUCUUGCAGAAACAUAACAACGCUAACGAACAUCAGGAACAUAAUUCUAAAAUCCCCCAAGAAUUAUACACAUAAACAACUGCCACAAUCCCAAACAGCAAAUUAAACAUAAAACUCAUAAUUCAAACUAUAUUAGAAACACAACAAAUCGUCGCCUUAGGACAAAUAUAGAUAAGAGGCAUAAAUUUCAACCAAUAAUUCCGUAGAUGCUAAACACGAUCAAAUAUGCAUUGAGCAACAAUUCUUCCCAAGAGUCUGGUUUGUCCAAAUUCUAACACCCGAUGCUCUGCGAUUGAAUUGCGAUUAGAAAUUGAGUCUCGGAAAGGACACAAUCAUAAGCAUACACACGGAAUAGAAUGAUUAUGCAUACACUACACACACUGUAAGAUAUAAAACCCGAGUAAUUGUUCCUCAAAUCACGCUAUAAUGUUACCCAAAUAUCACUCUCGAAAUCUCCAUACCAGCAUACAUUAACAAGGAUAUAAUCGAAAAAAAAACUACAACCUAAAAUUACCAUAAAUCCAAAAUAUUUACGCACAUUUUGCCAGCUUAGCUAGCUUCUGGGAUGUCUGGUGAAUCCCAAACCCAAUUUUCGACGCCCUCCGGUUGAACUCCGAUUGCAUCGCAACUGCCGACCGCGGCGGCUCCUCCGGCUUCGACCCGCUGCUGCUCGGUCCAUUCUGAGAGGAGAAUGACUUUUUUACCCUCUCUGUUAUGCCCGCGAACUCAUGCGUCCGAUCCCUGAUCGAUGAAUUCCCACUCUUCACCGGCAUUGUCGCAGAUGAAAUUUCCAACACCCUCUAAAUAUCGUAAAUGCUUACACCGGAUUUUAUAGAUCGGAGGCGAAGAAUCUGGUGAAAUUUUGCCCGGUCAUAAACCCUAAUACUGAAAUUUCUUUUGAAAUCGAAUUGAAUUAUGAAACCCUCGAUCUGCGAAAUGGGGAUUGAAAUUCAACGAAAUAUUGAUUUGAGGAAAAUUUCAUAUGCAUAUAUAUGUGUUCUGGUCUUUCAAAUUUCCGAUAAAUUAUUGAGAACUGUUUGUAAAAUGAAAUAAUUGGGGGAAUUUAUUUAAUACUCCUGUGGUUUUAAAUUCAUAUUUUUUUUUAAAAUAUAGUUGUGUAAUAAAACGGUUUUAUAGAUGCUAAAGUAAUUUUAAAUCUUUGUUAAAAUAAAAUUUAAAAAAAACAAACAUUUUUUUUACUUUCAAUUGUGAAUAAAUUUUUAGUUUUUCUUCGGAAUGAAAAAAUAUUGUUCUAAAAUCAAAAAAAUUCAAUCAAAAUUGAUGAAAAUCGAAAAUUACGUUACGGUUUUGUCAACUAGUGAAGUGGUCAUAAAUCGUAAUCUACACCUGGUCGACACACGUUCUACAAUGGCCGGGAUAUGGACAAAGGGUGGCGAUCCCGCGAGGGUCAGCUAACCCCCAAAAUCCGUCAUCGGUCAGCAACUCACCUGCGUUAAGGUGAAAUCGCUAGUAAUCAUCGAUCAACCAUACAUCGCUCAAAAUCGUUACCUUAACGGCAAGAAGUUAAGGGAGAUGCCGAAGGCUGGGCUAGUGACUGGAGUGAAGUCGUAACAAGGUAGCCGUACAUACCAAAACUAGCUCAAAUUUUCUUCUCAAGUUAUAUUAAAUGCAUACAAACUUGGUACUAAUUACUCCCAUGUUUCUUUAACAUUCAAACUUGAAUAAUUUAGUUGAAUACACUACUAUUCUUGAUACUCUGCCAUAUGCAAAUAAGUACAAUAUUCAAUAAUAAAAUGUUCUUACAAGCAUACAAGUUAUUAAUAAAAAAAGGUAGACAUAAUAAUAUUAAUUUAAUAAUUUUGUCUAAUAAGAUAAAAACUAAGAUACAUAAAUAAAUAAUCUAAAACUCACAAUUAGAGAUGAGAUAACCCUCACAAGCAAACCAUUAGCAUCAUCAUCCAUCUAACCACACAAGGCUGUUUUUAUGAACA